AAAAAGAAAGAAAAAGGAAAAAAAAAAAGAGUACAUAUUUUUUUUUUGGGAGGGAUUUUUGGCUGGAAGAUGAAACUGGAGUUUGGGGGAAAGGUAAGAAUAGCAAAGUUGGGAAGGAGUGUGAUGAGAAGGGGGGUAAAGAAAGGCAGAAAAGAAAAGUUGCAGAAACCUUAAUUCAAUUUUUAAUCAUUUUAUUGUUUACAGUGGAUCUCAGGAAGGAUGAUGAAGAAGCCUCACUCUGGUCUAUAUUGAAAGGCCCAGCCCAGGGUGGGUUCUCAUCUCCCAAAUAUCAGAUUCUAGGAUUAUUUUUUUCCUUUAAUUUCCUCUUUUUUUUUUUUCUUUUUUUUCUUUUUUUCUUGAGCAAAAAAAUGCUAUAUGUUUCACUGUAAUGAAACUAAUAGCUGUGUCUAUUGAUGUUUCAUUUUUCUUCAAUAUUUUCCUUGUCUAGAACAGUAACUUUGGUUGAUCAAACAAGUUUGAUUGAUGGUCAGGAAAGGGGGAAAGUCUUUUCCUUGUGGUCAUUGCUGUUGUAUUCCAUUAGAGAAUGCAUCAUAUCAUUCCAUGGUAGAAAGAGAGAAAAAUGGGAGGGAGGGAGAAGCCAACAUGUACCUUUGAUGAUGUAAAACUGAAUUUAAAGUUACUAUUAUUUCAAUACCUUUAUUUUUUCUUUUGCCUGUUUCCCACACACACAGCUCCUUACUUUCAUUCACUUUGCUUUUGAUUCUUGGGGUUUAAGAAAGUUGUAGGAAUAUGGGGAAUUGUUGGGGCCCAUUAGUGGACUGUGAUUGGCUGAUAGGAUGUGUAUCUGGAUUCUUCCAAUCUUUCUUGAGAAGAUGAGAUGUGGUGGGUUGGGAGAAUGGUAUAUUUUUCUUGAAUUAGAUACAUGGAUCUAGCUUUCUAUGGAUGGUGGGGUCCCCUUUGAGAAUAGAGUAUCAUGUACCCUUAUUUGAUGCCAACCACUCACCCUAGACAAAGUGGGUGCGUCUUUAUUGGAGUGAGAUGGAGAAAAAAUUAAAAAAAAAUGGGUUGAUUCUACUCGAGUAUGAUGGUGAUGUGUGUGGUGGGGGCAUGAGGUUAUGGGUGUUGGGCUUUUCAGGGCUUGCUUCUAAUGGCUUCUAGAUCAGAAAAAAAUGUGUUUUUAUUUUGCUUAAUUCUCAAGUGAUGGGUUUUUAGUUUGAAAAGCUAGACCUCUUGAUAUAUUUGAAUAUGUGUUUGCUAUAUUUAUGGGUGGAUGGAGAACAAUGUUGAAUAGGGAUUCGGAAAGAUAGGAUGGAAUAAUAAAAAAUUAUGAAAAAAUUUAUGCUAUUUCAUUUACUUUGUUAUAUGUAAAGGUAAAAGAAUUUGGGAAUGUAGGGAAAUGUAAUUGUUUACUUGAAAGGUAUGAGAAAACAGCUUUCAAUAAAAAUGAUUUAUUGAGUUUGAUUUAUUUUUUUAUUUUUUCUUUGUAUUCUUCUCAAAUUUUUCAAAGCCAAUAAAUUUAUUCAAUAAAUUGGGAAAAGUAUAAACAAUUUAUUAAGUUUAGACUCUUUCUACUCCAUGAUUCCAUAUAACCCAAAGUCGUCUUCAUUUUUAUUUUUAUUUUUUUUAUUUUUUUAUUUUCCUCCCUCUUUCUCAUGGUUUUUUUUUCCCCUCUCAUACACUUCUAAACGUAAAUGAUUUCUUUAUUUAAAUUUAUGUAAGGUGAAGCCAAUAAGGAUAUUAAUGGUUGAAUAAUUUCUUUACAUGGUUGAAUAAUUUGGGAAAAUUUUGGAUUGUAUUAGUUAUUAGGUAUUGAUUUUUGAGUAGGGUUUUAAACAUUAAAAUAAGGAGAAAAAAAAAGACUUUUAGGUAAUGUUUGAUUUUAAGAUAAAUAUAUAUAAAAAAAAAAGGAAAAAAAAAGUAGAAGGGAUGAAGAAGUGAAGAAAAAUAAAAAUAGAUAUAAGAUCAAUAAAUUAUUUGGAUAUAUUAUUUUAAAUUUAUUUAAAUUAUUUUAAUUUUUUGAUAGAAAUAGUAAAUAAUUUUAAAAUAAAUAAAUUCAUAUUUAAUUUUAAUUAUAUUCAAAAUUUUAAAAUAAUUUUUAUAAGAUAAUCAAAUAUGAGUUAUGGAAUUAAACAUAAUCUUAAUAUUAAGAAAUUUAUGUUUUCUUGGUAAUGAACAAAGAUUUCAAGCCCAUUCAUUCUCGUAUUUUAAUUUUGUUGAGUAAAAGAUUUUGAAUUCAUUUUCCUUGACAUUCAAGUGGAUUCGCUUCACCGACAAUUGAUAUAAAUCCAUGAGUGUAUAUCACUUCAUAACCGUCACUCAAAAGAAAUAUACAGGUGAGAGCAAUGGAGAAUUGAUUAUGAUGGGUUCCUGUCAUCCUGACUCAAGUAAAUUGGGAUGUACUAUUUGAGACCAAUGCAUUAAAUUUUUAAGAUAGGUUGGUGAAAGGUCUUAGGGGUUGGACCCAUUGGCUCAUGGCCUGUUCCUUUUUCACUUUUCCCCCUUCUUAUUAUUAUUUUUGAAUUUGUUGUCACACAUUUCCACAUUUUCCCUUCAAAUUUAAGGGACAAGUUUUGUAGUAUGAUUUGAUAAAUUAGCUGUGAUAAUCAAACCACACACACAAACAAAAAAUAAAGAAGACAAGAUUCUUAAUGUGAUUCAACAAUCAAUGUGAUCUUCUUUAUGUCCAUGAAAUGCACCAACAUCCAACAAUCCAUUAAUAAAACGAUGAGAAGAGUUACAAUAGUGAAGUUAUCGAAAAAACAUAUUUCAAUUACGGCUGUAAUUUCGAAAGGCAAAACCCUAAAUAUAAAAGGAUUAAAUAUAUAAUAUGAGCAAACUCAUCAAUCAUCAUAUGAAAAUUUUUUUGUCACCCCCACGAGCUGAUUGAAUAACUUGAUCUUUGACAUCUCGAGUAAAACGUAACAAAAUUGAUUCAGACUUCACAAUCCAACAAAUUAGUAUUUGAUUUUAGUUUGAUUUUGAUUUUAGGUUGGUUUGGUUCUAUCAUUGACUCUUUUCAUAAGGAAAAUGAUUGAGAAAACGAAAGCUUCAAUUUUUUUUAUUUAUUGUGAAAGGUGUACUGAAAUUUUAAAAAUAUUUUUUAUAUUUUAAAUAAAAAAUAAAUAAUAUUACAGAAAGAUAGAAAAAGAAUUUAUGAAAUCCCAACUAACUUUUAUUUUCUUUUGUUUACUUUCUUUCUCUUUUACAAUAUUUUUUUUCUUAAACUUUCUAUGAUUUGAUAAGAUCCUUAGUUUAUAUUUUAACUCUUAAUUACUUGCAUAAUGGGUUGAGUACAAAACCUUUCAUAAUUUUUUUUUCUUUGAUUUGAUAAUUUAGAUAUGUGCAAUAAUUAUUUUAUUUUAUUUUUUAACUUAAUUUUUGGUAUGACAUCUAUUUCAACUCUCUAAUCCUUAUCGAUAAUUCAGGUGUUUGACAAAAAUAAUGUUUAAUAAAUAGAGUUUGAGUCAUCUUAUAUUCUCUUAACAAGGUUUCUUUAAAACCAAUUCUUUUAUAAGACAACAUAUAUAUUAAAAAUUUUAAGAAAAUUAAUUUAAUAAAUUCAUUAAUGUAGUGUCAACUUUCCAAAAGACAUGUUCCAUUUCUCUUUGAAAUUUCUAGCCUUUUUAUUUUAUUUAUUUAUUUUAUAUUAUCUAGUAGGUAUAGUUCAUAAACAAUACACAAACACACAUUAAUCUAAUACAAACCAAGGCAUGCAAGUUGCUUCAUUACUCCCCAAACACAAAAAGUACAAUCUUCAAUUGUUUAUACAUUAGUCCAAGAACAAACCCAUAUAUAAAAAUUGGGGCAACAGGGUGGUGGUUCAGAUGUGAUCAACCCCAAUAUUAUAUAAAAAAAAUAAAUUAGGGUUUUUGGUGAUUAAAAGAGGCAAAAGUAUGGAAUUGGUUAGGGACUUUGUACUAUAUUUAAUAGGGUUGGUGAGUCAUAGGCCAUUGCAUGGUGGAAAAUGUAUACAUUUAAUACAAGGUGUUGUGUAUUGGGUUUCUUUGCUUAUAUAUAUAUAUCCUGGUUGGAAGUUGUUGAUUUUGUAUAUUGAAUAGAGGAAAAAUGAUAUGGUAGAGAUGUUGUAUCAAUAGAACUUUACAUCGGGAUCAUUGAUCAAAUGUAUAAACAAAUGAGAUUAAAAUACAAAUAAAUAAGACUUUAUAAUACCUUAUGAUACCAUCUAAUUGGUGAUGUAUUUUUGGUAUGGUAUCGAAAAAAUACCACUUGAUACCUUAACCAAACCCUAAUAAGAUGCAUAAUGGUAUUAUAAUGAGAAAUGAUCCUCUAUCUACCAUCAAACGCACUUAUAAGCUAUUCAUUUUCUUGUUUCAAUAAAUUAGGUUAAAGGCUUGUGUGUUCUGUAUUAUGGUCAUAUUGGAUGUGUGUAGUAAAAUUUAUGUCAUGGGUAGAGGGUAUCAAUAAAUGAGAUUAAAAUACAAAUAAAUAAAACUUUAAAAUACCAUAUAACACCAUUUGAUUGGUGAUGCAUUUUUGGUACGAUAUCAAAAAAUACCACUCAAUACCUUAACCAAACCCUAGUAGGAUGUGUAAUGAUAUUACGAUGGGAAAUGAUUCUCUAUCUACCAUCAAACGCAUCCAUAAAUAUUCACUUUCUUGUUUCAGUAAAUUAGGUUAUAGGGAUGGAUAAUUUUUAUUUAUUUUUAGAUUCUAACUUAUUAUUCUAAACAAAGUUAUUUGAGGUAAUAAGCAAUCAUAUUUAUGGAUUAAAUCCAUAAGAUAAAAAAUUAGCAAAUGAGGAUGAGAAAGUUCCUAUCAUAAAAGAAAUAUAGUUGAAAAAAUUUAUGUCUAGAGAACAAUUUUUCAUUACCAAAAGCAAACAAGUAGAAAAAUAGUAAUGACAUAAAUAGAUGGGUAGAUUACAUAAAUUCCUAGAGUUAUAAAUAAUAUGAUAAUAAUAAUAAUAAAAUGAGUUUAAUUUUUUUUCAAUUGUGAUAUGAGUAUUAAUAAUGGAAUGUUUUCUUACUUUUAAUAAAAAAGUUUCUUUCUCCAUUGAUGUGGGAUGACGCAAAAAACCCAUUUUAGUUUAUGACUUUUUAUUAUUAUGUAAAAAUAUGCUAUGCUAUAAAAGUCUCACAUUCUUAGUUUGGUAAAUUAAAAGUAAAACAAAUGAUCUACCUUUAACCUAAUUAAGAAUCUAUUUGAUAGUGAUUUUACGAAAAUUUUCUAUCAUUUUUAGGACUUGAAAUUUUUUAUCAGAAGAACUACUUUUAAGUCCUAAAAAAAAGUUAGAAAUGAUUCUUAGAAUCAUUGCUAAAUAAAGCAUACAACUAUAUAUAUAUAUAUAUAUAUAUAUAUAUAUAUAUAUAUAUAUAUAUAUUCAAAUGUUGAUUAAAAGUUUUAUAUUAUGUUUGGUUUCAAGAAAGCACCAAGAAAAGAAAAAAAUUAUUAAGAAAAGUUAAAAUAAGUUAAAUAAGUUUGAAAUGGUAUAAAAAAUAAUUUAUUAACUUUGAAUCUAUUUUGUUUUUUGUUUUGUUUUAUUUUUAUUUUUAAUUUUUCUUCACUUUUUCUCUCUAUUUUUUUUCCUUCAUACUUUUCCUCAAAAUUUUGAAGAACCAAGCAUAAUCUUUACGAAAAUUAUAAUUUUUUUAGUUCUUUAGAUUGUUCGUUUGAUAGAUAUGAUAACAGUAUCAUAUAACUUUGGAAAAUGCUAAGGUAUUACAGUGGUACCUAUCAAAUAAAAGAUUUGGACUAUUAAAAUAUGUAUAGUGAGAUCUAAACUAUUAAAUAAGGAUACAAAUAAAUAAAAUCAAGGUAUAAGGAUACAAAUAAAUCAGAUUAGGGUAUAAAUAAUGAGACAAAAAAUUGUAUAUAUGAUAACAUUUGAUUAGUGGUACUUUUUCAGUAGGUAAAAAAAAGUAUCAUUCAAUAUUGUAGCCAGCUCCUAUAAAAUUUUAUUUUAUAAAAUUAAGAAAGUUUAUUCAAUAUUUAUUAUCAAAUAAUAAUAAAUUAGGUUUUUCAUCCCUUUGCAAUCCAAAUGGAGGUAAUCUUACAAAAGAUGUAAAUUUGACCCAUUAGCCUAAAGCUCGGCCCACCUUGGCCUAGAGCAUUAAAUCCUUAAAAAAGUCCCAAAAUAAUAAGUAUGACUUAACUUCCCAAAAAAUGGAGGAUAUGACAUACACAUAUGUUGGUGGAUUGUGUUCUUAUUGUGUCAAGGUUCAAACAUUCUACUGAAUAGAUAAGUUAAUCCAAAUAUGAAAUGAAUAAUAAUUGAGUUUAAAUCAUAAACCCAAACACGAUCUAAUUAUUAAAUAGGCAAUACGUUAUGUAACCCCUUUAAACCAUUUAAUAAUCAUGUUGAAUUAGUUUUUGUAUAAGUACUAUGAAUGAUUAAUUUCCAAACUUGACAUGUUUAUGAUUUAAUUGAUCUAUUUAUGCAAAAAUAAAUUUAAUAUGGAUCAAAUAUGAAUUAAUAAUUUAGAGUUAUAAUUAAGAUAAUUAACAUGAUUAUUAAAUAUGUUAAUUUGGGUUAUGCAAGUCGUCAUGAAUUUAGUCCAAAUAUGAUUAUACUCAACCUAAAUCCUUGAAAAAUGUGUUGGGUUCAAAUCCUAUUUACUAAUUGUAUCAAACUUUACCAUGCCGUGCACAUACACAUGAUCAUCAAGUCAAGCUUUUCAUUCUUUUUAUUUGUAAACCUAAAUCUAUUUAUCAAUAUCUGGGUUGGUAGGAGCCGAACACGAAGGUUUUCUUGGGCCUAGCCAGGGACGGCCUGAGCCAGACCCAACGUGUUUACAUGCCUAUCCUACUGUAUCAUAAUGAUAAAAUUUGUCACCACACAGCAACAAUGUACACAAUAAUAAUGGAGAGUGAAGGAGGAAUAGGGUUUUAUUAUUAGAAACCAGUUCAAAGAUUACAUACCCCUUCCACCCUUCAAAUGCUAAGCCAUGCCCCUUUACUAGAAUCACAAAAGGAUUCUGAUCCAUGACAUAGAAAAAGCCAUAACUAGAACGUAAGGAUAGACAUAAAAGCAAACCCCAGUGGCAAAUAAAGGUUAGCCGUGUCAAUCAGGGAGGCAAUGGGGCCAGCAGAAGGCCACAGCUGCAGGGAAAGCUAUCAGUGUAUGGUUAAUCAGAUGGGACAAUUCUUCCUUCAAGUGGGAAAUUCUAAGCAUUUUUUUUCUGACUAAUUUUAAUUAAAUAAUCUAAAAAUGUAUAAUUUUCUCAUUAAUCUUAAUUAUAUUUGAUUUUUAUUUUUUAUUUUUCAUAGUACAAUCAUAACAUGAUAUUUCUUAGCAUUUUUUUUCCUUAUAAAUUUUUGGGAUCCAAACAUAAACUACGAAUUUGUUAACUGUGUUUGUACAUUUAAAGUCAUGAGAGCCCAUUAAACUUAGAACACACAAUAUCUAUAGCUACACGGUUGAAAGCAUAUCCAAAAUAUAGCAAAAAAUGGGCAGUGUGAUGUACAUGAGUUCAUGAAACAAAUUUCACCAGAAAUUCACAGCUGAAUUCCUUGGGCACGCACUGGAAUCAGAAAUUAUUGCAUGAGGCUAAGAACAAAGUUGUGGGGUAUGGGGUUUUGAAUGUAAUUCAAGACUCCUGUAGAUUGAAUGAAGCUUCCUCAUAGCAACAUGAUUCACUCAUAAAAGCUUUUGAGAAUUGGAGAUGCAUGCCCACUGUCCAUGUCUGCAUUACUCUAUAUAUAACAGCAUGAUUCAUUCUUUUAAUACUUUUAUCAGGGACAUGGGAACUAGCCCUCUGUCCAUGUCUACAUUGGCUUUGUUCCUUAGGAAGAUUCUUCCCAGUCUCUUCUCCAGAUGGACCCCAUAAUAUCCCAGGAAAUUAGGCUUUGGGUUCAACAAACAAAUCCCAUGACAAGAAGUAUACAGUAAUUGGGACAUACAAACAACCUUACAAAUUACCAUUAACAUCACUCAACUACAAAUCCCUAGCCCCCAUGUACUUCCUUUACAAAUGUGCAGAUCAAAAUCGAUUCACCUCCUGAAUUUAACCCUCUAUUCAAAACCAUGUUACAGGUCUGCCGAGAUCGAGAUAAAGAAGCAAGAGGAUUUGCAGUAGAUGGAUGAGUACGUACUAGCCAAGCAACAUGAGGCGCUGAGGGCUCAGUUGGAGCAGUGGUACUAUCGAGUGUGUUAACACAGUCACACACGAGCAGAAAUAAAGAAAAAAAGCAAGAGAUUUUAAAGUAGUUUGAUGAUCAAUAUGAUGUACAUGGAACACACCGGUACUCAAGAAUCCACUGGUAUUAGGAAUGGCAACGGGACGGGUCGCCCCCAUCCCAACCCCGCCCCGUUUAUCAAAAAUAAUUCCCAUCCCCGCCCCGCCCCGUUUAGCCUCUUUUUUUUUUUUAAAUUUGCUUUUAAAAUUUUUAAUUACAUUAAAAUAAAUAUAUUUAUAAAUAAUAAAAUUAUUAUAUUUUUUAUAACUUAUUUUAUUAAUUUUUUUAUUAUUAUCUAUAUAUUAAAAAUAGUAAAAUAAAAUUAAUUUUAAAUUUUAAAUUAAAUUAAAUUUUAAAAUUGAUUUUAUAUGUAAACGGGGUGGGGCGGGGCGGGAUGGGGCAAUACCCGAACCAGGCCCGGGUUUUAAAAAAAAAUCCCAUACCCGUUAAAAACCCGUUUAUUAAAUUUCAACCCCGUCGCAUUAGGGGCAAGGCGGGGCGGGUACCCGAAAAAACCCGCCCCGUUGCCAUCCCUAACUGGUAUCGAGAUAGAAAAGUUACAAUAAUAAAAGUUUUCUGCUUUUCCUUUUACUUUUCCUCUCAAUUGCAAUAGUACACAAUAUUUUUUUUCACUUUUUCUAAUGAGACCCAAAGUCAAUACUCAAGAAUCUACUGGUAUCGAGAUAGAAAAGUUACAAUAAUGAAAGUUUUCCUUUUACUUUUCCUCUCAAUUGCAACAGUAUACAAUAUUUUUUUCACUUUUUCUAAUGAGACCCAAACUUGUAAGAGGAUUAAAAUUAGAAUAGGGACAACCUCAUCAUUCAAUAAAUAAAAUUUUUUUAUCUAGGGGCAUUGCCCCUUUCAACCCAAUGGUAGCUUGACCUUGGGAUCUUUUGUACAGCACAACAAAACUAAUUCAAACUUCACAAUUCAAUGGAGCAAACCCAAGUUUGAGAAUCCUGAAUACCUUCAACCAGCUCCCUCACAUUGAAAGCCAGAACCCAGCAGAGUCCUCGCCCACGAUUCUACCUUUGUUGAGGACCUUUCAUAAUAUGCAGCAGUUGAUGUAGGGUUCCUGAUUUUUUGAUAUAAUUUUUUGAAUAGCCUUAAAUGGAUUUUCUGGGUUCAGAUCAGGAGAUAAACUGAUAAAUUGAGUUGUAUUUCUGCACUCUUUAUUGGUUAAAAAUUUAUACAGGAUGCUGGAAAAACCGAAUUCACAUAAAUAAUCACAAGUCAACCAAAGCAUGCACUAGGAGAAGAAUAUGUAACAUACAACUGUCUUAUACUUAAUCACUCUCCUAAUGACUUGAAAUUGAUGAAUAUCAAGGUAUACAUUCAUGAUUGAGCUUGAAGAUUUGCUUCUCGCCUUAUCCCAUGGAAGACACCAAUCUUGGUUUGGCUUGUAAAAGAGAGUAACGUACAGUACUGUUCACUCAUGGAUUUGUUAAGAAUCUCAGUGAGCUAAACACAAGUUGAGACAUGAGGAACUUCUUGAAGAAGGGGUUAUAUAGAAGUACUUAACAUGGUUGAGGUUGUAAAGUGCUGUAGCUAGUAAGUUGAAAAGUAUACUAGUGUUUUGAAUCUGUCAUAUUGCCAUGGCCUUCCAAGCAACAAACUACAAGCAUCCAUGGGAAGUGGGAACUAUAUCCCUCCAUACUUUAUCUUCGCAUUUAUUUCCAAUGGAGAACUGAACUGCAAGACACCUCUUGUCACUUCAUUGCAUUUUGCGAAGCCAUGGAAAAUUGUAAGGUUGUCCACGAGCUUCCAUCUUGAGAUGCGACUUUUCCACCAUUACAGUAGCCAUCACAUCCUCAAAACUUCCUCUUGUUGGAGAGAAUGCAUGGUACACAUCGAGAACCUAAAUCCUACAAACUUAAGUAAAUUUUUAGGAAAAUUAGUUGUCCAACAUGGUAUCGUAGCUUUGUUUGGUGGAAGAGAUUAUGUUUUCGAACCUCAUUUGAGGAAGAGUGUCUAGAGAAAAUGAUAUAUUAGAUUAAGCUUUUAAAAAAAUUGAUUAUCUAAUAUUAAUGAUGACAUUCCACGUCUUUUCAUGAGAGUUACAUCUCCUGUGAAUGAUAUUUUCCCGUGUCACAAAUUUUCUCUUUCCAUCACGACCUCAUUGCUUCUUAAGGUGUUCCCACCAAAUGGCGGACACAUCUUCUUCAAUUUGGUAGCCACUAACUGUUAGAACUUAUGAGAGUUUGUCUCUAAAGUUUGAAAAAGUCUUAGUUAGACUUAGUCUUUGUUAUUGUUUUAUAUCAGAUUCUUACUCCAUAAUUUUAUGUUUUCAAUUAGUAGAAGUAGUGCCAAUAAAAUUUGACAAGGUCGUUGGGAAAUGGUAAAGUUGUGCAGGCCAAAGGAAAAAGGACAAUUGCUAUCAGCACCAAGAGAGGUACAAAAAUUGCCACUACUUCUUGCUUUCUUGAAUUCCAGCAAAUGACACCUAAACCAUUUGUCAAGCACCUGAAAGUGUUUGGCUCAUUGUGUUACCUUCAUGUGUCAUCUAUAAAGAAAGGCAAACUUGAUGAAAAAGCUAAGAGUUUUUGUUGGGUAUGCAGCAAAAUCAAAAGGUUACAGAAUUUAUAGCUUGAGUAGAAUGAAAAUUAUGAUAAGUAGAGAUGUGCACUUUGAUGAAAAUUCAUACUGGAAAUGGGACUUGAAGAAAGUCCAUAAAUGUGAUCAAACCACUCCAUCUAUUCUUGAACCAACAGUAGAAAGUACAAGCAUUGAAGAUCCACUCAAGGUAGCUCUUGGUUGUAUGGGACUCAAGAAAAGGAAGUUCAGUAAACUAAAAAAAAAGGAAGUUCUUUCAACAAAAUGACGGUUUAAUGUUGCAACAAGAAGUUUCUAGACAAGAAGAAUCUAAUGAAACAAUUAAAAUCUUUUAUACUGAAAAGUUCGACAAGGCUACCGAUAAAUAUGCUAAAAGUAAAAUCAUUGGUCAUAGAGGAUAUGGAACAAUGGAAGAACAAUUGCAAUCAAGAAGUCAAAGAUGGUGGAUAAAAGUCAAAUUGAGCAAUUCAUAAAUGAAGUGCUUGUGUUAUCCCAAAUCAAUCAACAAAUGUAGUAAAACUUUUAGGUUGUUUAGAAAUGGAAGUUCCUUUACUAGUUUAUGAAUUUGGGUUAUCUACUGUUAAUUAAUAAACAAAGUACGAGUUUAGGAGAUAACCAGAAAACCAACAACAAAAUAGUUUGGAGAUUUAGAGUGAGGUUAAAACAUGAAAUAGCAAGUUCUAAUAUUGUUAAAGCACAUGAUAUACAUUAUAGAUCCUAAUAAAUUAGUCUAUAUAUGGUCUCCUUUGGGCUUAAUAAAUUGGGGAAACAAAGUUGCUUCCUUUUAGCUUAAUAAAUUGAAAAAAUAAACAUGUGGUAAAAUUUGACUUCCUUUUAAAUGAGGCUUUGAUAUUAUGUUAGAUAACCAUUUUUUUAAAAGCUUAAUAUUGUAGGAUUCAAGUCUACAAUUAAUGUUUAUCAUACACUCUAAUAGAUACUAUUUUUAUUAGUUGUUAUUUCAACCGAUCGGAUGGACAUUGAAGAGAAAAAAAAGAGAUUAAAAAUAGAGGACCCUUGAUUAAGUUAACCUCUCCAUGAAAAUGGAUAGCAUUCACACAAAAUAUAAAAGCAAAAAGCUAAUAUUUACAUAAGUGACACACAUUACAUAGCAUAUGGUUUAUAAGCUUAUAUGUAGUUUUUAGUACUUUAUGAGUAGAAGUCACAGUUUGCUUUGAAAGUCUAAAAGUCGUCCCGUGAAAGAAAUGUCUCCAAAAGGUUUCUUAAGAAUUUAUGGGAAUUUAUAAUAUUGAUACAUGUACAAACAGAAAAAAGGUGUCUCUUUAAUGGAAAAGCUGACAAUCCACUUCUCUUAUGUUUUUUUUUGUGAGGGUCCAAAAUUGUUUCCAACAAACAGUCCAAGAGAUGAAGUUCAUGAAUAUCGACAUUCUUCUGCUUUUUUCAGACAUUGAUUUGUUGUUCAACUGGGUAAAGCAAGUACAUUAGGACUAGGGAUUUUCUGUUGGGUGAAGUCAAAUGUAGUUUGUAAGGUUGUUGGGAUGUCCCCAUUAGUAUGCUUUUUGUCAUGGAAUUGUUUAUGGAACCCAAGGCUUAAUUUCCUGGGAUCUUAUGGGGUCCAUCUGGAGAAGAGACGGGAUGAAUCUUCCUACUGAACAAGGCCAAUGUAGACAUGGACAGAGGGCUAUCUCCCAUGUCCCUGCUAAAAUUGUUAAAAGAAUGAAUCAUGUUGUUCUAUAUAGGGUAAUGCAGACAUGGACAGAGGGCAUGCAUCUCCUUCUCCAAAGCUUUUGAGUGAAUCACGUUGUUAUGAGGAAGCUUCAUUCAAUCUGCAGGUGUCUUGUGUCAUGUUACAAUAUUCAAAAUUCAUGCCCCACAACUUUUGUCUUAGUCACAUUCGAUACUUUCUGAUUUGUCUCUUCAUGAACUCAUAUCCCACUACACUGCUGAUCUUUUUCAUGCCCCAAGACAUUCAACAGUGAAUUUCUGGUGAAAUUUGUCUCUUCAUGAGAACUCAUAUCUCACUACACUGCUGAUCUUUUUCUCUCUAUUUUCAUGAACCUUUCAUUUUCAAAAUAUUUUUAGUUUGAUCGUAUAUCAUGAUAAAUCUUGGCAUUUACCACUUGAAGUAAACCUUGAAGCCGCUAUUUUUUUAAUGCUUGGAUUCCCAUGACUAGGGGAGGUAUGUUCCAUCACUGAGUUCUGAAGCUACCUAUAUAAACCCUUCUACAUUUUCUUGUGUGUACUCCAUUUGCUUUUCUUUUUCUGUAUCCUUUGCUCAGAUAUCUCUGCGGUGAUGGUUAGUUUCGAUUUUGUCGAUCUUUCUUAGCAUGAUUUCUUUGAUGGGUGAGUGUAACAGGAUAGCAAAAUCUGCAGGUUAUGGGGCUUAACUUAUGAGAAGUCAUACUAUUUAAGUUUCAUCAGCCUGACUGAAUCUGUUGCAUUGACGCUCCAUAUAUACUACUAUUUCUUCAUAGCUAGCUAUUCUUUUCCCUUUAAAAUCAUGGUCGAUGAGGGUGUUUUUCAGCCACCUGAGCGCAAGUGGAAGAUUCCACUCCUUGUUUUCUUCAAAGACGCGAGGUAAGAUUUCGAUUUUGUUGCAUUAAUUUGCAGAUAUUCUUGUGCUUCUAAGUGCUAAUGAUUGGUUCCAUGAUCACAACCUCAGUCUUGUUUUCAAGAUGGAUGAACUUGGCUCAGAGAUACUAUGCAUAGCUUUCCCUGCUGCUUUGGCCUUGGCUGCUGACCCCAUUGCCUCUCUGAUCGACACAGCCUUUAUUGGCCAUUUAGGUUUGCUUUUUAUAUUCUAUUCUUAUGUUCUUGUUAUAUGUAAACAACAUAAAAUAAAGUAAUUCUUACGACAAUGGUACAUAUUAAUCAUACUUAUCUCCACAAAUGAGAGAUAAUAUUUUACUAUACGAUAAAAAUAAUGUGAAGGAUAGAAACAAAUAUAACUAUUGGUCCCAACAUCCCCUUUCCCCGCCCCCUUUUUUUUUGUAUCUUUACUUGGAAUUACGGGUCAUUUUCCUCUUCACUUUUCCUCACAUCUACACCUAUCCUAGUAAACCCUUUUGCUCCACCAAGUAUCUCUCGCUCUUCCUCAUAUUUGUAUCCAUCACGUAUAAUAUUCACAAGCCCAUUUCUCUCUCGUAAUUUUUUCCCCUAAUGACCUCAAAUGUUUAUAGAAAUAUUCCUAGAUUAGAAUCCUUUUAUGAUUUUGGUAAAGGCAUGUGAUGUUUGAAGGGGAGGAAGGGGCGGUAUGUAAUCUUUAAACUAAUUUCCACGUAAUGAUGAACUUCUUUCCUAGGUCCGGUGGCGCUUGCUGCUGUAGGAGUUUCUAUCGCAAUCUUUAAUCAAGCUUCAAGGAUAGCGGUAUUCCCGCUUGUCAGUAUCACAACUUCUUUGGUUGCUGAGGAAGAUACUAUUGAAAGAAUAAGCAAUGAAGUACCAAAAGGUGAAAACUCAGAGAAGGUUUCAGACAAGAACUGUGAAACAAAAGAGUUGAAGGAUGCAGAUGCAAUGCUUGAGAUCUUGGAAGAGGGUUCAACCAAAGACAGUGAAAUGAAAGCUUCGAUGCCAGAAGACGGUAUGUCGAUGGAUAUAUUUUUCGUCAUCCUUUAUAUAGAAAUCAUUUUUACAUGGUUUAGUUAUCAAUGGUUUCUUUACCAGAUUCCAAGACUAGUGCAGCCCCUUGUGUUAGCACCGGCGGUCGAAAUAAGGCUAAAUCGAAACGUGAGAAGCGGCAUAUCCCUUCAGCAUCAACGGCGCUAGUCAUUGGUGGACUGCUUGGCCUGAUCCAAACCCUAUUCCUCAUAUUUGCAGCAAAACCUCUCUUGAGUUUCAUGGGUGUGAAAUCUGUAAGUGGUUUCACUCUCCAUUGUUACGUGCCUUGUACUUCUUGUCACCUCCCUAUAUCCAUUGUUCAUCAUUCAUGGAUGUCUUUUGACAUGGGUCCAAAUGAAUUUAAAACUUAAAAAGGCCCAUCCGGUAAUAGUUUUUUAAAAUAGUUUUCUGUUUUUCAAAAGCAAAAGUAUUGAAAAAUAACAUUUUAAUAACUAAAAAAGAAAAAAGAAAAUAAGGUGUUUUCAGAUAACAAGUUUUAAUUGUUUUUAUUUAUUUUCAAAAAAUAAUUAUGCAUGAAGACUAGUAAAAAAUAAAGUCCUUCAUAUAAAAAUUAUUUUAGAAAUAUAUUUAAAAAUAUAAAAAACAAAGUAAAAACAUUUUAAGUUUCUAAAAAAACUGAAAAAUAAUGAUUAACAACUAUAAAACAGAAAAUAAUAUGUUUUCAAAGAACAUAUUUUAGUUAUUUUCAUUUGUUUUCAAAAAAUAGUUAUACAAAUAUGGAUAACUAGUAAAAAGAAAGCUCUGCAUGUAAAAAUUAUUUUUAAAAUAUAUUUAAAAAUAUAGAAAACAAGAUAGAAACAUUUUAGGUUUCUAAAAUGACUUUUAUUCCCAAGAAUGGAGAAUAGUUUCAAAAACCAUUUUUCAAAACUAUUUUAAAAAACGCUUCCCAAAAUAAAGCCAACAACUAAUGGGCAUUCUUUGAAAUUUUGAAGAGAUUGAUUCCAAUAUCACAAAAGGUUUUGAGUUUGAAAUUUGAGAAGUUUCCAAUUCUUAUUAGCAUGCCAUUGUAACCAAUUCUCUUUUCAAUUUGUUUUUAUUUGAAAGGGUUCUCCAAUGCUGCCCCCAGCUCUAAAGUAUUUGACAUUAAGAUCACUUGGUGCUCCGGCUGUUCUUCUCUCUUUAGCCAUGCAAGGAGUUUUUCGGGGUUUUAAGGAUACAAAAACUCCUUUAUACGCCACUGGUGAGCAAUAGCUUUUGGUUACCUUUUUCCUUUUCCUCCUCAUUCGCAUUAUUCUUCAACAUUUUUUAAACCUUGGUCCGAUUACUUGUAGCCAAUUCAGCUAAUUUACUCUAUUUCAUUUGCAAUUUUUGGUCUACCAUAGUUGCAGGAGAUCUAACAAACAUCAUUUUGGACCCGAUAUUUAUUUUUGUUUGCCGUUUGGGCAUCAGCGGCGCAGCCAUUGCCCAUGUUAUUUCUCAGUAAGUUUUACUACUUCAAGAUUAUCCAUCAAUACUACAUAUAAUUUUUAUGAGUUCACUAAAUCUUUUUGGUCUUGAUUUAAUAUUUGAUUCAUCUAGAGUGGUAUUUCUGAUAUGAUCAACUACUUUUCUCUAUAGGUACUUAAUAUCACUUAUCCUCUUGCUGAAAUUGAUGACACGAGUUAAUCUCUUACCUCCAAGACUUAAAGAUCUGCAAUUUCAUCGGUUUCUCAAAAAUGGUAAGGGUCUCAACAUCUGCAGCAUUGGAUGCUUGUUUUUUUUUGGUCAUCUCGGCUUAAAUAUGAUCAUUUUCAUACUUACCAAACAGAAAUGAAUGUUUAUCUUAUGCUUCACAUACAUAUUUGUCAAUUGUUUUGCCUAGGGAAUUUGUUUGCUGCUUUGUUCUCAUAUGUAUUUGGUACAAAAUACUGAUCAUAUAAUUGCUUCAAGUCCCAUUCACUCCUACUUCGCUUUGGUGAUUUGAUGCAGGUUUUCUACUCUUAUGGAGGGUGAUAGCAGUGACAUUCUGUGUGACCUUGGCAGCAUCGUUGGCUGCUCGACUCGGCUCGAUUCCUAUGGCUGCAUUCCAGAUCUGCUUGCAGGUCUGGUUGACAUCGUCGCUUCUCGCUGAUGGUUUGGCUGUUGCUGGACAGGUAAUUAGAAGUGUAACGAUCAACUCCGGUCAAUAUAUAUAUUGUCUGCUUUAGCUGAAGACUUGCAUGACUUUGACAUUCUCUGAUAAAAACAUGUAUACCUUUUAUCUCUAGGCAAUCUUAGCUUGUGCCUUUGCUGAGAAGGACUAUGGUAAGGCAACAGCGGCUGCAACCCGAGUAUUGCAGGUAUUUCGUUUUCUCAAUUUUAGUAGACAGAUGCUAUGUCCAGUAGUUGUUAUUCAUCUCAAAUUUUGCAAAUACUUCAAUUAACAUAUCCUGCCCUAUCCAUUAUUUAAUUUGCAGAUGACCUUUGUUCUAGGCUUGGGGCUCGCUCUCCUCGUUGGAGUUGGUUUAAAAUUCGGUGCGGGAGUGUUCACAAGGGACCCAAACGUUCUGCAGCUCAUUAGUAUAAGCAUUCCAGUUAUGAGCACAAAAACAACAUUUAAGCUUUAUUUGGAAAGUGUUUUGAAAAUCAGUCUUUGAGAAAACAGUUUUUGAAGACUGUUUAUUUUUUUAUGUUUUAUGGAAUCAUAAAUGUCGGUUUUAGCAUUUGAAUUUUUUUAAAAAUAUUUUCUAUAUUUUAAACCAUGUUUUAAAGUAAUUUUUAUUUGUAAUACUUUAUUUAUAAUCAUUCUCUAUAUAUUUAUAUGACUAUUUUUUAAAAUAGUCUUUAAAAAUGAAAUAAAAACAACCGAAAACAAUUAAAAAGUAUUUACUGCAAACAUUCUAUUUUAUAUUUUUAAGAAUAAAAUUUUUUAUUGUUGUAGGUUUUCUUAUUAUCAAAUACGUUUUCUUGUUGUUUUUUGUUUUGAAAAACAAAAAACUGUUUUAAAAAACAAUUAUCAAAUCAAACAUUAUUUUUUAUGUUUGCUCUUUUUUAACUCAUUCUUAACUCAAAUUUUUGGCUUUCGACUACAGUUUAUCGCGGCGACCCAACCAAUCAAUUGCUUAGCCUUUGUUUUCGAUGGAGUGAACUUUGGAGCAUCGGAUUUUGCAUAUACUGCAUACUCCAUGGCAAGUGCCCACCACAGAAAAUGCUUGUAUCAAUUCUUGUAACUUAAUGUUUAAUUCUCAAUUCCAGUUUGAUGACAAAUUAUUCCUUGUGGGUGAUCCUCAGAUUUUGGUGUCCAUACUGAGUAUUGCAUCCUUGUUCUACCUCUCUAAAACAAAUGGCUUCGUGGGAAUCUGGGUUGCUUUAACCAUCUACAUGGUCCUCCGCAUAUUAGCUGGGAUUUGGAGGUAAUUUUUGUUUCUUCUACUAUUCAACGAAAGCCAUGUUUAGGAUGAUUUAACUUUUAAGUGGUAUUUAAUGGUUGAAAAAGUACACAUUUUAUGCUUCGGAAUUGUAUUUUUAAAAAUGUUUUUAUUAAAGAAAAGGGUUGGUAACUAUUUUUUAAAUAUUUUUUUAUUUUUCGAAACAAAAAAAAAUAGAAAAACACAUUUGAGAACCAACAAACAGGAAACAAUGUAUUUUCACAAGAAUAUUUUUAAGUUGUUUUUAGAUGUUUUCAAUUGUUUUUUAAGAGUAAUUUUAAAAAAUAAUUAUAAAAAUAAGGAAAAAUAAUUAAAAAUAAAAUAUUAUUUAUAAAAGUUAUCUUUCAAACAUAUUUUAAAAAAUAAAAAAAUGUUAAAAAUAUUUCAAGUUCUCAAAUAAAUGUUUGUUGUAUAAAAAUACCAUAAAAAGUUUAUAAGAAUUAUUUUUAAAACUAUUUUAAAAAUUACUUUCCAAACAGACCCUAGAUCUUCUAUCUUAUCAAAGUUUACUAACAAAAGUCCACCAUUUGAAUGUUAGAACUCAUGGAUAUCUCUUGUUGAAAAACACGUUAAAUACCCUUGUGAGGUUGAAGUUGAGCAUAGGCUUGCAGAUUUGACUUGGCUAUCAUUCCCCACGUGUAUUAUAAAAGAAAGUAAUUUUUUAUUUUCAAAAGUAAGAAAAGUAUUUCAUACCGGAUCAAUUUAUCUCUCAAUUUCAAUUCCAUAACAUGGAUCAAACGAUAAUGAAAUUAAGUAUUUCACUAUUUGGAUGUACAUAAGAUUGAUUUGAAUGCAAUUAAUUUUUUUAUAACUUAUUUCUAAUAUUUUUGCUGCUAUCUUUGCAGGAUGGGCACAGGAACAGGACCGUGGCAUUUUCUUAGGGGUCAAUUCCGAUUGCCAUAGUAUUUGUCAUUCAACGGAUUUAGAAUCUUUCCAUGUAUUUCUAUUAUCAUGAUCUUUCUGUCUUCAAAUGUUUGUUUUGUUCUAGAGUCGUUCUCCAAACUUCUUUGGGCUAUGUUUUUAAGCUGGUUGUUCUCAAGUUGGCCUAGUAAAAUAAAAGGCUUGUGGUGUGAUGAUAAGUUGUACUUGUCGAUUGCAAAGGGAUGGGAUAUCUCUAUUGCCUUGGCAGAUUAAUAAAGAUAGCCAUUUUCAAAUUUAUGGAUUUGAGUUAUAAUGAUUUCCUUGCAAUAUAAUGCUUUCACUUGUUGGCCCAUGAUGAAAGAAUGGAGAGGAUUUAUUUUCGUAUGCUUUGGAGAAGAGUUGAACUUAUCAUUCUAUGAUAUGAAUACAAGUCCAUUUGGGAGAACUUUUUAAACAUUAAAGGAAGUUAAUUUGAAAUUCCAAUGCAAUUUUGAAUUUAAAUAAAACUCUCAAACAUGAAUUUAUAUUCCUUAACUCAAUAUAUCUGUCUUGAAAGAAUAGAGAACAUUGUUUUCCUAUAACUAUGGGAAGCAAAUUUUAUUUAGUUAAAAUGUUUAAAAAUGUUAAAAUUAAGGAUAAUUUUAAUAAAAGAAUUUUUAAAGUGAUGUUUUUAAACAUAAGAAUGUUCCUAAGACAUUAGGUAAAAGGAAGUUGAUUUGUAAACUUAUAAUAGAAUAAAAUAAAUUAUAGAUCACAAAACUUCAUGUCUUAUGUGUGUUUGUUGACAAUUAUUCUCAUCGUAGAAUACUAAGAUUUUUUUCCAUUGAAAAUGAAGUUAGAAUUGUAUGAUUGUUUCUUAAUUUCAAAGAAUACUGGUAAUCACAUUGAUAGACAUAUUAAAAUUUUUUAAAGUGAUGGUGAGCGUGAGUUUAACAUCAAGGCUUCAAAGAUUAGUUAAGUAACUUUGGAAUUGUUUAUCAAAUUUCUUGCUUAUGAAUCAAGAACAAAAUGGAGUUAUUGAAUGUACACAUGGGAAUAAAGUUAAAAUGGGACUUAUAAUAUUAUUUCAUGCUAAUGUUCCAUUAAAAUUGUGGAUUGAUCAUCUUAUUAAUUGAUUUUCAUCAACAACAUUACACUUGAAUAUUUCUUUUCACAAGUUAUAUAAAAGACAUGUUGCUAACCUUCCAUAAUUAUGAAGAAAACAAAUUUUCCUAGAAGAUAUGUAAUUAUAUUUUUUAUUGAGUAGGGAUCAUUCCCAAAUGUGUAUAUCCAAGUACAGUUCCCUAAGUAUAGUGAGUCAAUUGUAAUUUUAAUAUCUUUGUGAAUUAGGUAUUGAACUUCUCAGGCAUGUAAUGGAGUAGAAAGAUUUGGAAGGUAAGUGAAAAUUUUGGAUGCAAUUCUUUUGUUCAAGUAUUUGCAAAUAUAGAUUGAUGGAUUUGGUUAAAACAUGGGAAAAAUCAAUUGAAAUUAAGUUGAAAUUGAAUUAGAAGUAUUUUGAAAAAUAGCUAAGUAUUAGGGGAUUUCUUAAGCUCCUUUCUUUCCAUGAAAUGACCUUUACCGGACUCACUAUUGGUGAAAUUGCCCAUAGAUAUUCCUAGUUGGAAGAUUUUCAAUAGAAAUCAUUUUACCCAAACUCAUCGUUUUCCACUUGUAAGUUAAUCCUUCAUAGUAUUGCCCUUGAAGCCUUGACUAACCAUUUGCUUACCAAAGCAUAACAUUAGAGGCUCAAUAAUGUUACAUCAAAUUAAAAUGACUUAGGACCAUUAACAACCUGAGAUAUCCUUAAAGGACCCUAAACUCUGAUUUUUAAGUAUCAAGGCAUUAUGAUUUUUUAAUUGAAAAUAAAAAAGCAACUCACAAGCUGAAUACAUUAUUAAACAUGCAUCUAAGAUUCGAGGGUCAUUACAUGGACAUAAGGAAGGUCCUAAAGACCCCCUUCGUCUCUGCCUAAAGUACUAUUUAAAGGACAUGAAAAUUGCACCCAAGUGAAGAGCAACAACAAAAAAUCUUGAAGCAAGCUUCACUUGGAACAAGGUCUUCCCCAAAACUCUCCCGAAGAACCCCCUUUUAUCUACUGCAAAAAGAAUUUAUAUAGGCGUUCUCGUGUCACCCUAAGUGGUAUACCACGUGGAGGCAUCCAAAUUAAGUUGGGAGAUCUUAUGAUGGCUUGGGAAGUGUCCAAAAAUGUGGACCCUGCAUCAUUUCAAAAUACAUUCAAGUGAAAUUGUAGCAUAAGGGAGAGAAAUGGCCCUGGGGCUUGAGGUGGCGCCUUCCUGGUGCCAUUUGUUUUUGCAUGGAGAGAUCCUUCACAACGUACAAUGGCGGCAAGAGGAAGAGAAAUGAUGCCAAUUCAAGGCUUGUGGUGGCACUAUUUUUGGCGGAAAGCUACAUGCUUCCUUCAGCAAUUUUUCUAUUUUUUCAUCAAUCUUUUUCCCAAAUUUUUUGAAUGAACAAAUAUUGUCCAAACCUUUUGAAAAUUGGUUAGAUUGGUCUUCAAUGAGUGUAUAAUUUAAAGACAUGCCUUCAUUCAACUACCACUAUGUUGUGUUUGAUGAAAACAAUUUUCCUUAAACACUUCACAAUCUUCUAUGGAGGAAAAUCUUGAAAUUGUUUUAUUUCCAAAUUCAAAUGAUUGGAAUAAAGUCAAAGAAUUGCCUUCGAAAGUUACAAAUUGAGCUAACCAAGGAAGCUAAUCUACAUUCCACGUCCACUUGUCAAGAAUACACCAAGGAGAAUAAUUCACCCACAAAUGUCUCGAGUUCAACCAAGAAUACAAUAUUACAAAUGACCAACCCCUUCAAUGAAUGGUGCGUAAUGCAACCUCUCCCAUACGUGAACUUUCCAAUUACAUGUCCAGUCUUUAAUUUCCAUGAUCCAAACACAAUCAUGGCUUCCGUCUUAUUAUGUUAAAUAAUGUUGUGCAAUGUUAAAGAGCAUGACUAAAAUCCAUAAACUAGAAAAUUGGCUAGUUAGCUUGUUGGAAAAUACAUAAGAAAUGUAGGUAGAGUUGGAUAUGUAGUAGUAGCUUCAUAUUGAUAUCAAAGUGAAGAUUAUUUGUUCAAGAAGUGCAUACAUGCUAACACAUAUGCAACUAGAUGUUGAACAACCAUGUAGUAGUUUAUGAAUAUAUAGGACAAUAACAUCCAUGAAUAUAUAAUAUUUUACCGGCCAACCCUAAUACAAACAUAUAUGGUAGAAAGAAAUUUAUGUCUCGAGGUCAAUACUUCAUAACAAAACCAAUAAGAAAGAAGAAAAAAAUAGUAAAUAAAAAUACAUCGAUUGAUUACACAAGCUCUUAGAGUUACAAAUAUAAUUACGAUAAUGAUCUAUUCCUAAGAAAAUGCCACGGUCCUGUCCCAGUGCCCAUCCUGAAAAUGUAGAGGCAAAAACAUUAAAAGAAGCUUGAAUAUUUCCAUUUGAUUCAAUUUUAGUUAUUUUUCUCUAAAAGAUACACUGUUUAGUUAGUCUUUUGAUGAAACUUUUAUUAAGUUUAAGGGCCUAAUCACUUCUCCUAAUGUGGAAAAAAAUUACUACAAGUUUUCAAAUAAAAUAAUCAAAUUUUAUUAAAAUCUUGGGCCUAGGACUAGGCUUAAACUAGGAAUUAAAUUUCCAUUCCAGUGUGAACCUGGUCCAAAGGCCCACCUAGGCCGAGCUAAGGUUGGGCUGAGGCUGCCCCAAACCCAAGUCAACAGGCCCAGGAAAGGGCUGUCGAAUGAGCUAUGGUAGGACGAGUAUAAAAUGUGGUUGAACAAGAGGAGUAAGAUCCAAGAAUCAAGUGUAGAUUUUACUAGGAAGCCUUAAUAAAAUGGAUGUGAUUUAGUUGAAUUAUUGAUGAAAAUUACCUCCAAAAUCCAGCAAAUGUACGCAGGCCCAUGUAGAUGGUUAAAGCAACCCAGAUUCCGACGUAACCAUAGCUCUUGGAGAGGCAGAAUAAAGAUGCAAUGCUCACAAUGGCCACCAAAAUCUGAGGAUCAAAAGCAAUACCUUUUCAAAAUGGAGCUAAAAAACAAAUAGGUUCGCUCGAUACAUUGGAACAAGAAUCGGAAGAAGAAUAAGAAUGAAAGUGAAUCAGAAUAUCAUGUGAAAUGGAGGAAUCAAAAUCCCUGUAAGAGUAAGCUUUUGUUUGCAUGAAAAUGAUUUUUUAUAUUCCUAUCUUCAUUUGAUCUAGUAAGUAAUCCAAAUUCUGUUAUUCUCAUUCCCUAUUCUUGCAUGUCAGGCAUUUUUAUGGCAUGCACAAGGGGUUAAUAGACUUGCCAUGGAGUAUGCAGAAUAUGCAAAAUCCGAUGCUCCAAAGUUCACGCCGUCGAAGACAAAGGCCAAAGAAUUUAUCGGUUGAGUUGCAGCAACAAACUAUCAUCACAAAAGGGUAAAUAUUUCAGUUGAUCGUGAGCUCAAAAAAUGAAAAGAAAAAAAUGCAUAUUAGAUAUGGGACAUACCGGGACUCCUAUACUAAUGAGGUGUAGAACAUUAACAUCCUUUGAAAAGACUUUUGCACCAAAUUGCAGGCCAAGUCCAACGAGGAGAGCAAGCCCUAACCCUAGAAUAAAGCCCAUCUGCAGAAUAAAGAAAUAAAGUAUUUGAUUAAUAUGAGAUGAUUGAUAAUCAAAUAGUUAGCAUUAUUUUUUAUACUAGAAAGCUAAUAUUAAUUAUCUCCUCAUAUUUUUCGUACCUGUAAUACUCGUGUUGCAGCAUUAGUUGCCUUGGCGUAGUCGUUCUCAGCGAAGGCACAAGCAAGGAUUGCCUGGAAGGGUGGGAAGAUGAACACACAUUACUAAUUGAUCUAUGAGUUUAAACCGAAAAAUGAAAACUUCUGAAAUAAAAUCCCCCUAGAAAUCGGUUGUUAGGACAUUGUGACUCUUGGUUGUUAAGGGAGCUAGGUGAAGAUGGGAAUGCAUGAAAACCCCAUUAAAAUUCUUCCUGAUUUUUCUCUUUUUUGGAUUUUUUUAUUCUUUAGGCUGCAGUAAUUUGCUAGAAGGUGGAAUAAUUGAGCCGGAGGGCAAAGGGAAAACCGAAUUGAAUUCAAAAACUACAAAACUGUGAUGAAAUGAAUAUUAUCAGUGUCAACAGGUGGAAAAGUAAGUGUAUGUUACCUGCCCAGCAACAGCCAAACCAUCAGCCAGAAGGGAAGAUGUCAUCCAGACUUGUAGGCAUAUCUGGAACGCAGCCAUAGGAGUUGAGCCCAGCCGUGCAGCCAAUGAUGCCGCCAAGGUCACACAGAAUGUCGCUGCUAUUACCCUCCCUAGCAGUAGUACACCUAGACCAAAUCACCAAAGUCAGUGACAUUAUGCAGACUGCAUAUCAGUGCAUGGCUAUACAAUUAGGAAAAAUCUGAGUCUCUGACAUAAAGCCAAGGUUGCAAAAACAUAUAUCAUAUUAGGGGAGUUGAUCAAAAGAGAAGAAACUAAUUACCCCUUACCAUUUUUGAGGAACCGGCGAAAUUGCAGAUCUUUAAGACUUGGAGGCAGGAGAUCAACUUCUUUCAUCAAUCUCAACAGGAGGAUAAGGGAUAUUAAGUACCUAUAGAGAAAAUUUAGUCAUGUGAGAGCUCAGAAGGGCCAUUUAUUAAGAUGUAACAAUGAAUCGAAGAUACCAAAAAGGAUUGGAAGCUUGAGAUGAACAAUGGUCUUGAAGCAAAACUUACUGAGAAAUGACAUGGGCAAUGGCUGCGCCGCUGACCCCCAACUUGCAAACGAAGAUAAAUAUUGGAUCCAAAAUGAUAUUUGUUAGAUCUCCCACCACUGUAGUAUAUCAAAAGGCAAAUGAAAUAGAUAGUUAGCAAACAUGUUAAAAAGUGAAUAAAUUUAAUUUGAUCCUGAGCUGAACUUAUGACUUCUGUUAACUAAGACUUUGAUAUCAUGUUGAGCUAUCAAUGGGAUGGGUUAAAGCCCUAACAUAAGUACUGAUGAGAUACAGAGUAAGACAACAAAAGAGGAUAACAAAGAAGGAAAUUAAGGUCUACUCACCAGUGGCAUAUAAGGGAGUUUUGGUAUCCUUGAACCCUCGAAAAACCCCUUGCAUGGCCAAGGAGAGAAGAACAGCAGGAGCUCCGAGAGCUCUCAAUGUUAAAUACCUUCUUGCUGGGGUUAGCAUAGAAGAACCCUAUCAAACAAAAAAUAAAAAUAAAAAUGGAGCAGCAGUUAUACAUUUAUCAUUGUGUGACAAUGAAAUAAUGACUUGUAUAUAUGUCAUGAUAGAAACUAAUAUUGGUCUUCGAUCUCGGUUGCUAAGGCAUAUACAUAGAUUGUAUGAAGCAAAUGUACACAAGAAGAUGAUGAGAAAUAGAUGUAUAGAGGCCCAAAGUAUAGAUCAAACUGACCAGAGUAUUUAGGAUUCACAAUUGAGAGUGGAAACACUUACAGAUUUCACGCCCAUGAAACUCAAGAGCGGUUUUGCUGCAAAGAUAAGAAAUAUAGUUUGGAAGAGACCAAGAAAUGAGCCGAUAACUAGUGCUGUUGAUGCUGAAGGGAUAUGCCGCCUCUCCUUCUUUAACUUAACUCUAUUAGGACUGACAGUACUAACAGAUGGGGGCUUGUAUGUAGUAGUCUUCAAAUCUGAUGAAAAAAUCACCAAAAAAAUCUAUGUAAGAACAAAUUUUUUUUUUUCAAGGUUUAGAAUUUUAAUCCAAAGUUGAUAAAGGAGACUGAUGAAUAGUAUAAUAGUGCAUACCAUCUUCUGGGAUCAACUCUUUCAUUUCACUGUUUGGGUUUGAACCCUUUUCCAAGUUCUCAAGAAUUACAUCUUCAUCCUCCAACUCUUUUGUUUCAGAAUUUUGGACUGAAGCCUUUUCAGAGUUUUCACCUUUUGGGGCUUCAUUGCCUUUUUUUCCAACAGUAUCUUCCUCAGCAACAAAAGAAGUUGUGAUACUGACAAGUGGGAAUACAGUUAUCCUUGAAGCUUGAUUGAAGAUAGCAAUGGAAACUCCCACAGCAGCUAGCUCCACCGGGCCUAUGCAAAAUCGAUCAGAUAUUCUCUACAUCAGAUUAUGGUCCCUAUCGUUGAGGGAAUCACAAAAAUGAAGUCCAGAACCCGACAAGUUUCAGCAUCCAAAGAAAGAAAACAUAAAUUAAGCAGACCUAUAUGGCCUAUGAAUGCUGUGUCAAUCAGAGAGGCAACGGGAUCAGCAGCUAAGGCCAAGGCGGCAGGGAAAGCAAUCCUUAGUAUCUCGGAACCAAGCUCAUCCAUCUUGAAAACAUGCCUGGAAAUACCAUUAUGGAAUAUUCAACCCUUAUAUAGACCUCAGAAAAAAGUACUGCAAAUAUAGCUUAUGAAACCAUACCUCACAUCUUUAAAGAAAACAAGGAGUGGCAUCUUCCACUUUCGCUGGGGCAGAGAUGGAGACAGAUCAGUACUGACCUUAUCAGCCAUGAUUUUUAAGGAUGAAGAACACUUAUGUUAAACUACUAGGAGCUUCAAUGUAGAAGAUUCAAUCAAGCUUUUGGCGCCACCUGAAAACUCAAAUCAGUUCUCAUAGGUCGUCCUCCAUAAUCUGCAUAUAUAUAUUAGAGUCAUUGAAUCAAAACAAACAUUUGCACAAUGGUUUUCCUCCAACAAAGCAUACAGAAAAAGUUCAAGUACUAAAACUAACCAUUUCAACAAAGCUAUCUUUUCAGAAAAUUCUGAGCAAGAGGAUACAAGAAAAGAAAAGCAAAAUGAAGUACAGACAAGAGAGCGAAGUAGGAGUGGAUAUAAAGGUAGUUGCUGAGCUCAUUGAUAGUAUGGACCUCCCUCAGUCACCAAAGGUAAAUGUGGGUCAACUGAAGUCUCUACAUGAACCUAAAAUUCAGUAUUAAACAUAAAAAAUGCCGACUUUACAUGAAAAUUUAGACUGCAAUGUGCCAUGAAACGAACCCUGGCUGGGACAAAAUUCACAUGAAUCAGUAUCUUGGGGACACCCAAAUGAGAAUUAUGAACGAUGAUUACUAAAUAGAAGAAUGUGAAUAGAGACAAAGUUAUAGGGGUUUUAUAUGGAGCAUGUGCCUCCCUCAGUUCAGUGUCCCCUCAGAUAACUUGAUGACAACAUUAGUCUAUAGUUCACACAUUCAAGAAGGAAUGGGGAAACUGUCUGUUCCUGCGUUAGCCUUGUUCGGUAGGAAGAUUCGUUCCGUCUUUUCCCCAGAUCACGCCUGAAUACUUGUCAAACAAUGGACCCCAGGCAAUCCCUGGAACAACCUCUUGGGUUCCAUAAACAAUUGUCAUGAAAAGUACUGAUGGGAAGAUCUCAAGAAGCUUACAUAUAUUAAGAAAUAUGACUCCUCAACAAGAAACCCUUCAACCCAAUGUACUUUCUUUCCAAAUGGCGUACAAACAAAUGUUGAAAAAAGCUAAAGGAAAGUUGAAAUUAUGGACGUCAGUACUUCAAAUUUGAAUUCAAAGCAUAUAGAUUGGGAGAGAAGGUCCUAAACUACUGGAUCAUUCAAUAAACAAUUGGUGGUGGAUGCACCUGAGCUAUAUACUGCUGAACUAGAUCGAUCAUGGCUUUUGUAUAUAUAAUUUGGAGGUCAUUUCAGCUAGCAAUAUUGAAUCUCCAAGGAGAACAACGUGUCUAAUAAAUGCUUAAUGAUUGUGAAGUAAUAGACUGCAUUAGUACAAUUUACCACAUACGACGGAUCGAGAUCGGUGUGAUAUCUCAUGUCACAUGGGCUCCAGGUGACUCAUCUAAUAGAGGUACAUUCAUUUUUAAGUUGUGGGGACCAAUGAACAAAUGUAAGAAAUGCAUGUGAUGCUCAUAAAAGACGUGACAAUUAGUUGAAAAAAUCAAGACUAGAGCAAAAAUUUUCUGAAAGAUUCAUUUAAGGCUAUGUUUGGAUUUCAAAAAGUUUGAGGGAAAAUGUAAUGGAAGAAAGAUAGGGAAGAAAAGUAGAAGAAAAGAAAAAUGAAAAAGAUAAAUUUAAAGCCAAAAAUUUAUUUUCAUGUCCUAUUUAAAAUUUAUUUCACUUAUUUAAUUAUUUUAUAUAAAAAUUAAAUAAUUUGAAAAUAUAUAUUUUUUUAUUUUACUAGUUUAAUUAUAUUUAAUUUUCUUUUUAUUUUUUAUUGGAAGAUGAAAUAUAAGAAAAUCAUUUUCCUUAACCAUUUUUUUUCUUUUUUUGGUAAUUUUGAGGAGACAAACAUACCCUUAAAAAAUAAGGAUGGGAAAAACGAGAAUAAAGUGAUGGAAUUCAAAGAAACUUGAGCUUAAAAAAUAAAACUUAGGUUUGGCUAAUACUGUGUAUCAGUGAAAAAACAUGGGGAGCAGGGAUCAGACCCAAUUGAUUGGGGUUCGGGCCAAGAUAAAGCCACACCCUUAACUAGGCCUAGGUGGGCCCUCUAGUUGGGUUGGGAAUUUUACUCUAAGCCCGAGUCUGACCCUAAGCCCAAUUCUUAUAUAUAUAGAAUGUUACUCAAGUACUAAAGUUGGCUUGAUGGUUUAUUUGAAUACAUUUGAAUGAUGGUAUAUUUGGGAAUUUUAGAGAUUAUUUGGAAAAUCCAGUGAUAUGUAAGUGUUAUUUUGGACCAAAACCCAAAAGUAUUUUGGUAAUAACCAACAUAACAUACAUAUUUCUAACCUCUUACAUAAAAAAAACAUUACAUUUUCUUGUCAUAUGCAAAUUCUUCAUCACUUAUAUUUUGCAUGUUCUUCAUCAUUUUGUAAAUAAAAUGAAUCAUGUCACCUAGCUGAGAUAUAACGAUUGUAAUAGACCAUUGGGUUGUCCUCCCAUCAUGUGUAUGACAAAAUUUUGAGGGAAUGGAGAAGAAUUCAACAAAGCGCAAAUAAUGGGACACCCCAAGAAAAUAUUGAAACCAUGGUUGUAGCCAUGUUUGGUCCCAUGACACAUUUUUUUAAAGUAAAAGGUGAAAAUGGGAUUUAAGACUAUUAUUAUUAGUGACCUUAGUAUAUAUUGUGAGUUCAUUUCUUAGUAUUAAAGGAUUUUAUUUAAUAACACUUUUUAAGAAAGAAUAGUUCAAAUAGAUCAAACCUGACUCGGGUUUUAAGUAUUAAAAAGUUUGAUACAUACAUAAUAAUCAUCGAUUCUUCCCAUUGAUUUAAGUUAAGAUAGAUUUUAACCAAGAAAUAAUAGAAUGCAAGUCAGGAAAAAUGAAGUUCUUCCACAUGGAAGAAUAGAAGGAAAAUAAAACAAAAGAAAAAAGAAUGUGAAGAUAUUCAUGAAUGAUACAUUCAAAUUCGAAGACAUAUGGAACACAAAAAAAGAAAGUGGAAGGAUGAGCUUAUCAUUCGAAAGAACUUGUACCUUAGAAAUAUAUUCUCUUGAUGAGAAUGCAAUUGAAGUUCUUUUCCACCAACUUGGUGCUCUUUGCUCCCACACACCGAAAACUCUCCAUAAACUCAACCUUUUAUAAGUACCCCUUCCCCCUUUUCCCCUCCUAGCUGCACACUGAAAAAUUGAAAUAAUAUGGGUGUGUGUGUACGUGGGGGACCCUCCUAGCCGCACACUGAAAAAUUGAAAUAAUAUGGGCAUGUGUGUACGUGGGGGAGAGGCACAAAAUUUUCAUCGUAUCUAUGACUAAAUAUCGACACGUUGAAAGGUUGAACUUGUUAAUCUAUAAACUUAUUUAAAAACCUAAAUUAUUGAAUAAAAUGAUUGUCAAACAAAACCUAGUCCUUUUUAAGUUAUUAAAUAAUUAUGCACUAACAAUAUACAUCCAGCUAGUUCAGAUUAAAACCUUCAUUGAACUAAAAUAAAAAGAACCUACCAAUCCCUGGACGAUACCUAGCAAUUCACUUAUGAUUCCAUUAGAAAUUUGUGCAUUUGAUUAUUAUUAUUAUAGUGAUGGACUAAUAAUAUAAACCAAACUGAUUCGACUAAAACCCUAAUAGAACUGAAAUAGAGGACAAGACAAUGGUACCUUAAUGACAAGCAGCAAUAUGCCUAGACAGUAGACUCAAUGAAAACUUUUGCAUUUGGAUUUGGUUGUGACUAUAGUGGGGAGUUCUUAAAAGGUGGAAUUCCACCACCAUUAUAAGCAGUGACCUUUAAUUAUAUACAUAUGGAAUGUCUUCCUUUGUGCUACAAAAUUUAAGUGCUUUUAGUUGGUAGACCAACUACUUUUUCCCGACGUGGGACGAGUAGGAUUUCCAAUACUUCACGCCUGCUAUUGUAGUGCACUUGACAUAAUAUUUUUCAUUGCUUAAAUAUAUAGAUAACAAUAUACUAGUUCAUCUUCAUCUUAACAAUAUUAAUGAAAAAAAUAUGUUACAUAAGAAUAGUAAAUCAAUCCAAAUUUAUAAUAACAUUUACUAAAUGAUUUAUCAAUGUUGCAUGCAAUUUUGUUUUGUAGUUAACAUUUGCUUCAUAUAUAUGAUUUUAUUAAAAAUGUUUUUAUGGAUGAAUUAAUUAGGGUUUGCUUGGAAGUAUGUGAUUAUGGGAAAGUUCAAAUUUGCGUCUUCAUAUUAAAAAAAUAUUUUCUUAUAAAAAUUAUACUUUUGAUAACAUUUAAAAAAAUUAGAUAACCUUGGACUAUCAUUUAGUACGUGCCUUUUAUAAAAGUCAUUUUUUAUUUUUUUAUCAUCUAACAUAUGAUAAAAAAUAUGGAUAAUCAAGAUACAAGCUUAAAACAUUUAUGAGAAUCACUCUAAAUGAACCCUUAAAAAUGAAAAGAAUAUAACCCAAAAUAAAUACUAAUUAUUUGUCAGUAUCAUUCAAUAUGUAUAUGAUUUUAUUUGGAUGAUUGUAUAAAGAAACUUGAGCACCAAAGCAAGUUGAUUAGGAAAGAACAAAUUAACAUCAGUACUAAAAAGGUGCUCACAUGCGAUGAUAAGGUAAUUAAUUGCUACACAUGCAGUAUGACAUUUUUUUUUUCUGUCCUUUGAUUUUUGAGAGGAACAAAUUGGAUGUACGUAUUGAAUUGGCAAAAUCUAUACUCAGAUCUGCAUAAGCAUUUGUCUCCUCUUUUUCCCCGUGAAAUCAUAUGUAAUGGCUGCCCUCUUUCAUACAUUCCCUAGCACUUAUGAUUCAAGUUACUAAUGAUUUAAGAUUGAAUAUAUCUCUUUUGUGUGGAAACCAUCACACCAUUUUGAGUUACAGAUGUUGAGACUAGCUAGAGAUUUUCCUCAAAGCUUCAACUGUUAAUUAGCAGGCUGAGGCCAGAAGCUUCUAGAAUUAAUGAUUGCUUUGAUACCAUGUUAAUUUUUUUUUAUUUGCUCUAAUUUGAUGCCUUGAUGACAAUAUGGGAAUUUCUUCAUUGUUGGAGAAAGCUUAAUUUGAAUUCAAGCUUUUAAAUUUUGAUUAUGUUUCAUUAGUUUUUAUAUUAUAAUCCAUCGGUCUUUAAUACUGAACGGUAUUUUUCAAGACCACAUUAAGUUCCCUUAAUUACAUUUUAUUAAUAUUAUGAUUUGUCUUUAGAGUACGGAACAACAAGCACUUUUCAAUAAUACUCCUAAUAGAUUUCAAUGAAACACGUAUAAAGUAAGAAUACAGAUGAGAUAUAUAAUAAACAUCAUCUGAAUACUAAGAAUAUGAUCGAAAAUACAAAAAGUAUGAUAAAAUUCAAAAAACAAAGCCAUUAAAUAUUUUUUAAAAAAAUUGCUGAGCAUGAAAAAAGGGAUCAAAAGUAGGAACAAAUGACCAAGUUAUAAUUAACUCAAAUAAUACCUUUUUUCUCAUUAUCCCAAGCUUAUAUUAUACCAUCUUUUUAAUAUUUUAGAAUUGUCAUUCAUCUUAACCUACUUCUUGACAGUUAAUUUCCUUAUAUAAUUGCUUAAGAUAUUCUCUUGAAAAUUCUAGGAAGCCCAUCUACUUCCAUGAUCACCAAGGAUUCAUAGUUAGCAUACAAGAGCUUGCAUUAAACAAUAAGUCUGAAAUUAAGUAUGCCCCAUUCAUCCCACUGCAAUCUUUUAACUGGGUUCCAUUUGUUGGAGGUCAUGCAUCACAGUACAAUAUGAUAUUAUCCCAUGUGUUUCACUGUGCUUGGUGUAUAAAAUUGGAACUCAAAACUUUCACUUUGAAUCUAUUAAUAGCCAUCCAAAUUAAGGUGAUGGAGCACCAUGAUGGAAAUGUCGACAUAUUUAUAUAUAUAAUAUAUACUAAUUGCAAGCUUAGUGAAAUAUGAUGUUAAUUAGCAACAAAUUAGUGUUUAGACCUCAUAACUUUCUUUUCUAAACUUGUUGUACUCCACUAAUAUUGCUUUCUCCAUCUUAAGCAACAAAGUAUUAUUUUAAUUGUCAUUUGCAUGCAACAUGUAUGAAUUAACGGACGAAGACUCUCCAGAGUUAUAUAUUGGUGUUUUCCACUAAAUUUAUUGGGGGAUCCAAUUGGAUUAGUAUAAUGAGGCAUGCAUAUCCUUUCAAAAGGCAAGGAUAUUUUAAUUGAUCACCUUCUAAUCAUUUCUUUUUCUUAAGAAAAUAAGUAACAUCAAUUCUUCUUUCUAAUAAAGCGGUUUCAUUAGAAAUCCGGAUAAUACUUGUUAAAAUAAUAAUAAUAAUUAUCUUCAAUGUAUCUCAUUUCUUAAAUGAUACUGUUUCACUCUUAUCAUCAGUGUCACCCAUGUUCUAAGAAUGUGGGAAGGCAUGUUAGCCCACUCAUGUUUAUGACAAGACAAGUUUGAUAUUAUAAUUUAUGUGGUCAUUACGAACUUAUUGUCAAGUCAAGUGGAAGUAUUAAAAUUCUUAGUAAUGGUUGAUUGGGAUUUUGAUUUUAGCUUCAUUUAAUACUUUUGAUUGUUGAUUAGAUGUUUAAUUUUGUAGUAUGCUUUAUGUUUGUUCUUGAAUUAUAUGGCCAUAGCAUGGGUAAGACACACGACAGGAAGUUCAAUAAUAAAUAUUGAGUAUGAGUGGCAAUUGAGUUGUCCCAUUCAAUAAUUAUAUAACUGAUAUGAUGGUAUAAGGUUUUUUUUUUUUUUUUUAAUCAUGGUGUUGUAGAAUUAAUAUUAAGGUGGUGUUUGUUUUUUGACUGAAUAGAAAAAACCAAAAUAUUUAGUUUUUUCUAUUCAGUUACAAGUAACUUAUUAACAUCAAUCAAUAUAAUUAAACUAAACUUAUUAAUAACAAGUUCACUUUAAUUAUGUUGGUUAAUAUCAACAAGGUACUUUUAACUAAAUAGGAAAAACUAAAUAUUUUGACUUUUUCUAUUCAACCAAAAAACAAACACCACCUAAGUAGCUUUCUUAAAAUGAUCAUGAGCUACAUUUCAAAGUAACCAUUUAUAAACCCGGCCAUCAAUAAUAAUCGGAAUACUUAUAAGCUUGAGGGAAGAGUAAGAGAAUGAUAAUAGUGAGAGAUGGGGCUUUUAUAUUUUAUUUCUUUAAAUUUCUUUGAUUAUUUUAAUUAAUUAACAUUUCUUUGAUUAUUCCUUUAAUUAUAAAAGAAUAUAUCCUAAGGGAUCAUACAUAUGAAAGAAAAAUCAAAACCCUAGAACUUAAUUAUGAAAUCAAGCUCGUCUAAUCACCAAUGUUGCCUUCUCCAUGAUAGGCAUGGAAGUGUUAUUUUAAUUAUCAUUUUCAUGCAAUAUCUAUAUAUAAAAUUAGAUUCUCCAAGUUUAUUUAUUAUUAUUUGCCACUAAUUGAACUCGCUAGAUUUACAUUUCCGUCACACAUCCUAGUACAAAAGAGGCCCUUAAAUCCUUUCAAAAGGCACAAUUAUAUUUUUUUUGACUUUAUUUAAUAUUAUACAUAUAAUGGGAGUACAAAAGGAGUACGACUUCAAAAAAUCAAAUAACUUGUUGAGUGAGUGGUGUAUGAGUCCUUCCACUCAAAUCAUGUCAAAGGUGCUCAUGCAUUUCCUUUUUUGUUUUUCACAAUAAUAUCUAAUAUUGUUUUCUUAUCCAUUUCAAGAUGGUAAGGAUAUCGCUUUCGGUUCUUGUUGCACCUUAAGGAUCAACACCCUUUUUGUCAAUUCUUUUUAUUUUUCUCUCUUUGUUGAUUGAUCUCGAAAACGUUUUAUUAUAUCAUCGAGUUAAUUUUAUUUGUAAGUUUUGUACUUAUAAUUGGUUUCAUUUCUUACAUCGUAAAUUUUGAGCAAUGAAAGUAUACUAUUUUGAAUUAAGAAAAGAUGAUUUUUUUUUAAAAAAAAUUUGUUACAUACUUUAAGCUAAUCUUAUUUUUAAAUACUAUAAUUAAGUUACUUUAUUAAAGCAUUGUUCAAGUGGGCUCUUCAAACCCUAAAAACACUGUUUAAAGAUCAAAUGCAAUCUUUAGAAUAUAACAAGAUUCAAACACAUCAUAGCAAUAAUUACUUCAACUUUUUCGACUACUAGAUGAUGAAACUAAGCAUUAUUUUGAACAAGACUUAAAUAUUUUCAAUUAGCAUGUCUAAUUAUUUAAAUUAAAUAAUUAAAAAUUCCAUUUAUGGUGGGCAUGAAAAGAAAAAAUUACCAUCUCUUGAAGCUUAAUUAUAGAUGAAGCCCAUUUCUAAAUAAACAAUGAAAAAAAUGCAUACACAAUGUAACAAUAUACAUAUACCCUUAUAACUUAAUUUGCCAACUCCACCAUGGAAAUAUAUAUCUCACUUUGAUUGAAUUCAAAACUUUAGUGAAUACUAAGAAGUAACAGUGCAAGUGCUAUUAUAUACUUGUGUUCCAUGUCUUUUAUCGUAUGCCCUAUUGAGGAAUAGUAGACACUCAGCCUGGUGAUGAAACUUAGGCACAAUGAGGCUCCAAACAACCCGGAAACUUGACUUUAAGCUCACCCUAAUGGCCAGUGGCAAGCCUUCCCCGGUCUCUAGCAUGUCCUGCAUGGCUCUUCCUGCACCAUACAUAGGCUUAUUCCUCGUCCCCACGUAUAAUUGAAACUUUGAUGAACCAUGGCUUGGAGCAUAUAAUUCUUGGCCCUAUAAAUUUAAAAGAAAAAAAGUGUAUGAACUUAUAUAGAAGAUGUUACAAAAUUAAGGGUGCAAUUUAAAUAGGUUGGUUUGGGAACACCGAACAAAAUUCAAUAUUUGGACAAAUUUGAGCAACCAUUUCUAGUACUUUGAAUUGGACUUAGGUUCAGUUUUCUUUACCCAAAUUGAAUUGGGGUUGUGCUCAACUUAAGGGUUUGGUCAACCCCAAUCCAAUUUAAUAUUUUUAUUUCUAAUUGAUAUAUAUAUAAUUGUGUUCAAUUGAUAUAAGACGAUAUGCAUAUCCUAAAAUUUCAUUUAUAGUUGAACAUGGUAUAUUUAGAUAUUAUAUCGGAUGGGUACCAUAAUAUAUUUGUUUGGUUUAUACAAAAAGUAAAAAAUGAAAUGAAAAACAUAUUUUAUUUCAAUAUUUGAUAUUUGAUAUUUGUUAUUAAAAAGUAUAAAAUAGCUUUUAUAUUGAAUAUUAUUGAAAAUUUUUUUUAUAGUUUAUCAUUUAGCAAGUAAUUUUUAAAUUUUUUGUUAAUAAUAUUCAUGAUUAAAACUUUAAAUUUUAUAGAAAAAAAACAUUAUAUUACAAUGUUGUUAAACAUAUAAAAACAUAUUAUAUAUAUAUAUAUAUAUAUAUAUUAAAUAUUAUAUUAAAUAACACAUAUAUUAAUAUUAUUUUAUGUUGUAUUUUAUACACGUUUUUUUAAAACUAUAGUUUUAAUUCUUUAAUUAAAUUUUUUUGUUUUAAAAAAUAAGUAAUAAAAAAUUUAUAAAAAAAAUAGAAGAAUAAAUUUUGGAGAUAUUAAAUAAUAUAUUCUACCAUCUACCAUAUUUGAUUGAAUAUGAAAUAUAAUAAAUGACAAAAUAACUUGUCCUAUAUAUCAUUUUCAAUCAAAUAUUACAUAUAACAUGUUAUCUCAUCUCUUAUCAUAUAUUAUUCUAUAUCCAAUUAGUCCAAGAUGAUCUAUAUAUAACAAUAUUUAUUUUGUAUGUUUUUAAUUGAUUUAAAGAAAAAAAUCAAAUUUGAGUAUAUUAUAUAUUAUUUAAAGUUUAUAUAAAAGUGAUAGAUAUAUCUUCCGUUUUAUUAUUAUAUUCAAAUAUAAUGCUACUUAUUCAUUAAAAUUUAGUAUAAAAGUAUCAAAAUAAAGAUUAAAAAAAAUAUAAUCACGGGAAAAUUCAACUCAUCCUAACUUAACUCCAAUUUGAUUAGUAAGACAUGAUCAACUAACUCAAGCAACCCAAACUUGAAAAAAAUGAAGUUUAGCUAAACUUGAGUUAAAUGUUUUAAGUUAGAGAUCCAAAUUAUGUUAGAUUUGCAUUGAGUAUUACUUCAUUUGAAUUACGUGAGAAUUAGACACCAACUUAAUACAACCCACUCAUCUUGUAGCCCUAGAUAAAAGUAGCAUCAUAUCAUAUCAAGAAAGUGAGUGUCUCACAUGUGAAGUUGCGAAAGGAUGGUGAUCAAAGGAUAUUUCCACGAGUGGAGGGUGAAUGUGAAGGCCAAAGAGCUUGGACUUGUUGUCUACCAUUAGGGCCAUGGAGCAAUUGCAAGUGAGGAUCUUAGUGGUAACACCCGAGGCAUCCACGCCCUCUCCUAGGCCAAAUUGGCGAAUGCCAGUCAUCUGCAACCGACACUUAACAUCAAAUCACCAAGAAACCCAAAAAUAAAAAUAAAAAUGAAAUAAAUAAAUAAAUUGAAUCAUACUAUUUAAAUUUUCCAUGUGGUUAUUUUUGUUACUCCUAGUACAAAACUGUAGUGAGUUCUAAGCAUAUGAUCAAAAUUCACCUGCAAUUUCUCCCUUAAAACUUGAUGUGACACAAAGUCAUAAGGGUAUGUUUGGCACUAGAUAAUAUCAAGUGAUGAAUGGACAAUGUUUUAAUGCUCAACGAUGAGGAAUGGAUUUAUACAAUACCACCGAGGAUAUCUCAUAAUCAUUAGAUGUUAGUGGCUUUUAUCUCUAUAUAGUGAUCACUCCAUUGCCACCAUCAUGGUUGCAAUAGCUUUAGGAAACACAUGGACGGUUGUCAUAAAUCAUUAAAGAGCAUGAUAUACAUUAUGUUUGAGAUCAGAAUUGAUAGUUCAAUAUAAUUUUAGAAUCUUAUUUUGUAGGAGGUCAUGAACUCAAAAGAGAGUAUUUGUGAUUUGUUUAUUUGUUUGUCUCUUGAUAUGUGAAUACAUAUAUAUAUAUAUAUAUAUAUAUAUAUAUAUAUAUAUAUAUAUAUAUAUAUAUAUAUAUAUAUAUAUCACAAUUUUCAAAAUAAUAUUGAUAAUUUUAUGGGGUUUUUAAGAUUGUGAUGACACCAUUGUUGGUUUAAAACAAAAGUAAUAAGAAUAUUGAUAGGUUAACGAAGUUUCAAAUUCUUAUUUAGCAAAAGUAUUAUUGUACCCAAAAGAGGCCAUUUUUUAUUCAUUGUCGGCAAGCUUGUUUGUCUCUCCACAUACCGGUAUAGGAUGGCUAGUGAGAAUAUACACAAACACCAUUUUCGAAUAUGUUGAUAGUUUUAUGAGUUGUGAUAUGACACCAUUGUUGGUUUGAAAUAAAGGUAAUAAAGUCGGCAUCAAAGUGUGAAAGAAUGUUAGACAAGCUCACUUUCAAUAAUAAUAGGAGUUGGGUUAUUGUAAGGGCCAAAUUUAUUCCAAACUUGGACAAGGUGGGAUCUUUUGCUCAGGCCUAUUUUCAAGGCCUCCCUCUUUGGAUUUUAAGCGAAAUCAGCCCAAUUGGGAACAAUUUUUUGGGCAUGGAUUUACGAGAGCUUGUGGGUGUGGCUUGUCUAAUAUGUGAGUGUAAUUGGGCUGAGGUAGGGAUGGUCUUAUAGACUACCAUUUUUGUCAUCUAAGAAGGUUUGGGUAAGCCAUGCAAGUUUGAUAUAUAUUAUUAGUCCACUAGAUUUUAGUUAAAAUAAUGAUUUCAAGAUCUUGAUUUCCUUCUUUGUUAAGGUCAAUGUGUAACACAUAUGGGUGUUACUUGUUAGGAUGUUAGUCCAAGUCAAUUUAAUUUCGGUACAUUAAUAGGUCGGUCGGACCCUCUUGGCUUGGGUAUGGGCUAGGCUUCCAUUGACCUUAACUUAGCCUAAGCAAAUCUUCAGGCCUAGACCAAAUUCUCUCCCUAAUUUAUUAUCUAACAUUAUUCAUUGUACAAUAUCUAAAGCUUUUAGCUCAAAUUAAUUGGUCUAAGUCUAUAAACACCACCUCUUUUUUAACCACGGUAUUGUCGAUCCAUUAUAUCACCUUGUGGCACACUCAUCACUAUAUAUAUAUAUGAAUUGUUAAAAAUCAAUAGCACUUAAAAUUGGCAUGGGAAAUGAUAAUUAAAAUAAAAUGAAAAUAGAGGUAAAUCACAAUACUGCCUAGAAAAAGAUCAAUUAAAAUGUCCGCCAUAAUCAUCAAAGUUAGGUUUAAUUAUUUUUAUUCUCAUUCCUCGUUCUAAUUAAUGUUUCAAAUGUAACCUAAAAGUAAUAUACACCAUGAGAAAAAAAAAAAAAGGAAGGAAGAAGAUGAGAUAUGUACCUUGAUGGACAUCAUGGGCGGAGGUGGCUUAGUAGCAAUGCAAAAAACAAGCAAUGCAGCUCCCAAGCUCACCAUCAACCUCCAACUUAUCUGCAAGCAAAUCCACAAACAUGAAGAUGAAGUCCUAAAAGAGAAGUAUCUCCACCACCCACCACCACCACUUUUUGAAGAAAACGAUGAUCUUCCAUAAUAAUACUCCUCUUCCUCAUCAUCCCCACCACCACCCUCCUCCCCGCCCCCAUCAACCUCCAUGCCUACACUCAUCCUCCUCCUAUUCUCCCCAUUCUCCCCAUUCUCCGUCCCCGUUCCCUGGCUCUGGGCAUCAUACAGUACUAUCUUCUUCUCAUGCAAAAACGAGUUAUUCGAUCCCCGUGAUGACGACGAGUAUCGCGAGAGGUAGCUGAAUCUAUUGACUUCUUGGCUGGUGUUUGUGGGGUUGUUCAUGAAGGUUUCUGAUCGAAGAGGGGAGUGGCAUGUUGAGAGGUUGUUUUGGCAGUCAGCACUGUUGGCUCUGGAGAGGGUGGAUGGGCUUUGUACAUAGUAUGCGCAAGGAUAAGCGUGGAAGAGAGCUUGGUCUUCUCCUUCCAUGGGGUCUGUGUAGAGACAGUGAUGGGGAGUGGAUUUUCUCUCUACAUGGGAAAGGGGCUUUGGAGGGGGGUUUUAAACUAGGAAAAAGAGACGUUUGCUUUUUUGGAAUUAGAGUGUUGAGACUUGGGAGGUUGGCUUGGCUGCCAUUGCUUGGUUUAUGAGCCAUGUAUCAUGGAGGUGUGUCCCCCACUUUUUGGGGCACUGUGCCAUUGGGCCUUAUUCAAAUGAAAAUUACCAUUCUAUUGCCAAAAAUGGCAUGUUAUUAAUUCUGCCUCGUAUCGAGGUUUUAAGAAUUAAUUAGUUAAAAUAAAUGAAAUAAUUUUUAAAUUUGUUAACGUAAUGUUUUUCCAUAUUUUUUAUUUUCAUUUGAAAAGAAUUUUUUAUAUAAAUAUAUUUUAUUAUUUAAGGUGUACGUAGAUGAUCUAAACCAUUAAAUAAAAAUAUAAAAACUAAGAGUUAUAAAAGAAAAAUAAUACCUAAAUACAAAGAAAUAAAAUUUAAUACAAAAUACCCAAGAAGAAAAUACAUUUUCCAUCUCAUUAUUGAGAUUUCUUCAUCAAUUUCUUAUGAAAAUCUUAACACAAUACCCUAAAAGAUACUAUUAGAUACUUAGGGCGGCUUUAGUUUAAAAAUAAUUAACAAUGUUCCAAAAAAUUACAUAUUAAAUUAAGCCAACCAAUGAAAAUAUUUAGGUUUUUUUGGGGGGGUUUUAUAAUUAAAUAAUGUACAAUUCUCCCCUUCUAAGAACAUAAAAAGAAAGGCUUCAAAGACCAAAGUCAACAGCCAAAACCAAGCCAGUCCAAGCUUCAAAAAUCUCAUCCUUGGAUUGCGGAAGAGCCUAUAUAUUCUCUCUAAGUCCUUAGCAUCACUUUACACCGAAUUGUCCCUAUUUUUUUGGAUCCUAUGAAUGAUAACAAAGUAAGCACGCUUUACCCAUACCUUUUCCCCCUUUUAUCUGUCUUUUAUUCUUUUGAUUUGAAUAUGGAGCAAAUCUUAGCCAAUAUAUGAGAGAGAAAUGUGUUUUUAAUUACAAAAAGUAGUACUAUACUUAGUGCAUACCCAUGCUUGUCUUAACCACAUCUCACAUCGGGAUUCAUUAACCCUAACCCAUUUUUUUUUUACUUUUUUUUUUGUUUUAAUAUUUAACACAAUUUAUAUAUGAUUAUUAAUGGGUUUAAAUCUUUUUUGUUGAUUUUAUAAUAAAACAUUAAUAUCAUUAUUCCUAAUUAGAAAAAAUGAUUUUCGAUUGUCUGAAAUAAGGAGAAUGACCAAUUUUUUUUACAAAAAUAUAUUUCAUCGAGUUUUUUUUAUGCCCAUUACUUUCAAAAAAUAAGGCACACACACAAAAGAUAUUUUUGUCCAAUAUUGCUUUUAUAAAAUGAAGAUUAUUUUAGCCUCUUAAUCUAAGUAUUUCUGUUUUAAAAGAUAAAUUAUGGUUAGAAAAUAUGUUGCUUUAACAUAAUAUUAAAGGUCUUGAUUUUAAGAAUUAAAUUGAGGAAAUAAAAAAAAAAAUUGCUUGCUUUUGAAGGGAUGAUGGAUUGAUGUAGAAAAAUGGGCAAAUAUGUGGGCAUCAUGAUUGAAGGUAAUAGUGAGAACAUUGAGAAAUAUCUAAUGGAAGUAGCUUUUGCUUUUAUACCAAGGCAUUAUGAAUAGCACUUAUGUUCCUUCUCAUCAUCAUCAUAUACAAUUCCUUUUCUUUUUUCUUUUUUAUUUGAGGGCAUCUUGGAUCUUACAUUUCUAUACUAGUAUGCAUUGCCCUUUCACAUGAAGUAACUUCUACUAUUCAACGGAUGUUUUCCUAGGUUUACUAGAGUACAUAUAUAUAUAUAUAUAAUAUAUACACAUGAGUACUUAUCAAUCACUCAAUUCUAUGUCAAAUGAUUCUUGCAAUAAUAUUUGAAUAAACUUAGAUAUAUCAUUGGAGAUAUUAAUUAGGUCUUUUUGUAGUAUUUUUUUUUAAAAAAUAAAUAAAUUAUGAGAUGUUAUAUCAUAUAUGUUGAUUUUAUAUGGUAGAUUGUCAUCAUUUUUUUUUCUCCAAAUUUUAAAUAAUAAACAAUUAUAAAUACAAAUUUAUAAAAACAUAUUUCUUUAGUUAAUACUUUUAAAUUAAAUUAAUUUCUUGGGCUUCUUGAUAUGGGUACCUUUGAGGAUAAGGGAAGUCAAAAUGAGUUCAUAGUGGCCAUAGAGAAAUUAUGACAAUGAGCUUAGAUUUUAGCUUAUAGUUUUUGGUUGAUAUUCAUGAAAGUUAAUUCUUUGUAACAAAAGUGAUUUUUUAAAUUUUAUCCUAAUGUUGAUCACAACUAUACAUAGUAAGAUAAUUAAUAAUUAAAUAUUUUAGGAAAGGAAAUAAAAGAAAAAGGAAUUAAAAUGUGAAAGAAAGAGAAUAAAAAAAAUUAUAAUAAUUUUUUAUAUUAAAAUGCUUAUAACACUAAUAGAAAAGGAACAAGAAAGAAAUUGAUUUCUUUGAAGAAUUUAUCAAUAGUUAAGAAAACAAAAUGAAAUAUAUAGUUUUACAUAACACUUUUAUAUAAAUAAAUAAAUAAUGGAUUUAUAAUUAUUUAAAUUAAAAGACAUUAAAAACAAAUUGAUGUCAAAAAAAAAACAAAAAACAUUUCUUAAAUUUAUUGCAAUUGUUCUUUAAUAAUGUCAUUCAAUUAAAUAGAUUUUGAGUAUGAAAAUUUCUUCUACUUAACUUUAAUUAUCGUAUCUUUUUUUUUUUUAUCAGUCAAGGAUUGUAAAUUAAAGAGUAUAUUAAAUGAUUGAGCAUCAUAGUAAAAGUUAUUUCUUGAAUUUAUUAUAAUUUUUUGGAUAAAAAAAAAUCUUUUUGACAUUUAAUUAAUUUAUUCUCUUUUUAAUCACAUGACAAAUAAUAUGAAUCAAGUGAUCAAAUAGACCAAUUAAUGAUGUAUUUUAUUAUACACAAUUGAAACACCAAAACAUCAUCACAAGCUUUUGUCCCACAACAUGAUUUAGAAUUAAUAAUAAAUUAAUUUUUUUUAGAAGAAAGAUGAUAUUUUCUAGAAAGCAUCUACUCACCUUAUCCCUUAUGUCAUUAUUUACAUUGAUUAAUUCCAACAAUAUCAUGAGAAAUUUGAGCAUGCCACUACUUAUGAACGUCAUCAAGACCAUAAUAAAUAAACUAAUAUAUAAGAUAAAGAUAAUCAAUUGAGUUCUCUACCAGAAUUCACACUAUCAAAAGUCACUAUGGAUCUUCAUACACAAAAUUCCUUAUUUAUAUAGAAAAUCUCCACAAACUUUAUCCUAACAAUUAUUAUUAUUAAAGAGGACAAAAUUUCCAUCAAACAUCUUUACUAUCAUCAAUUAGUAAAAAACUCUUAUUUUGAAUCAAAUUUCUGAGUUAAAUUGUUGUUAUUAAUAAAUGACUCAUCCAUUUUAUAUUUUAAUCAAUUUUCUUACACUCAUCGCUUAAAACAAGACUAAGGUGGUGUUUGUUUUUUGGCUGAAUAGAAAAAGUCAAAUAUUUUGGUUUUUUCUAUUCAACUAAAAGUAACAUAUUGACAUCAUCUAACAUAAAUAAAAUGAACUUAUUAUCAAUAAGUUCAGUUUAAUUAUAUUAAAUGAUGACAAAAAGUUACUUUUAACUUAAUAGAAAAAGCCAAAAUAUUUGGUUUUUUUCUAUAUUCAAUCAAAAAACAAACACCACCUAAGAGAGUAAGAGUUUUCAUUAUGUUUUUAUACUAAUUUUUUUUUUCUAAUUUUUCUAAAUUUGGAUCAUCUCACAAGUACUCAGAGGGUGUGAGCAUUCCCUAUUCUAAUCCUCAUGUUAUAGUAAUCACUACAAGAUAAUAGGUUUAUAGGUACAGCCUUUGGUAGCAAUAUUUAAAGACUAAAAAAAAAAAAGGUAUGACCAUAAGAUAUGAGAGCAGAUAUAAAAGACUACGACAAAGCGUAAUUAUAGGUGAUACAGAUCAAUCCUAUAAUUGCGAUCACGGGAUAAAAAUCAUAAAACGCAACUAUUUAUUCUAGAGGCUAUAGUCGUAGCUACAUUUAUAAAAAACAAUAUUUAUAACUUUAUUGACAACGGUGGCUAAAGAUUUAUAUCAUCCCUUUGGACUUGUCUAACCACCCCCAGCUAAAUUAAAAGACCUUUUAGUAGUUUUAGAAUUGACCACCCUUUUAGUUUUAGAAUAAAUGUGACCAUGGGUAUAGCCUCAAGUUGUGAUUUUUUCUGGUGGCCGCAACUAUAGGAUUUAUCUAUGCCACUAUAGUCAAGCUUUGUUGUGGCAUCUUAUAUUUGCUCUUAUGUCUUAUAGCCAUGUCUUUUUGAGUCUUUGGCCAGCUAUAAACCUAUUAUCUUGUAAUGAUGAAAUUAACCCUAUAAAUAUUGAUUUAUGACAAUAGAUCAAUGCAUAUCCAUUCUAAAACCCUAGCAUUCUUCUCUUGUAAAAUAUUAAUUUUAAUUUAAUAGAAUCAAUUCUUGUAAGGUUAAAAGUAUUUUUCUUGAUGUUUGAAAGUGUUUUUCUUAUAAAAUUAGACGUUCAAUAAAAUUUUAAAAAUUCAAAGAAUUAGUUUAAAUAAUUUUUUCAAUAUUACUUGGUAGAGCUUCUUCCAAAAAAUAGAAAAAGAAAAAAGGAAGUUGUGUAUUUAAUUACCAAAAACAAUUUUAACAUACUUUCCAUUUCUAUCAAAAGACUAACAGACCUUUAAAAAAAAAAAAGUUACCAAUAAAUUGUUGUAAAUUCAAAACACAUUUAUGACAAUCACUUUCAAAUCAACACCAUAAAAUGUCUUUACUAAUGCUAUGUAAUGUGCUUGUGCAAGUUAUCAACAAGCUCAAAAAGAACCUUAUCUAGCCCAAUUUCCUAUCAUGCAUGCAUCUUCAACAUCAGGCUGAGUAUGACUCCAAACCCUAAAAUUUUCAUUUUUUUAAAAAACCUCUCAAUUUCAUAUUUAAAUUUUCUUCCUUGACUUUCUAACCUAAUACCUAAUUUUGAGAAUUUAAUUUACAAAUUUUCAAGCACCUUUUUAAUUCACAAAAUCAGGAUUAAACUCAUGGAUAUAUCAACUAAAAAAGACAGUACAUCAAUAAGAUUUUUCUUUGAUUUUGUUUAUGAAAAAUGGAUUGGGAUGGGAGAAAUUCAACUUUAUAUAUUCAAGCACCUAUACAAACCUUAUUAUACUUCUACUUGUUGGGAUCAUUUUUAACUUUUAAGAGUAGAAGUAGAAAUUGAAACAAUUAAUUUCAUUAUGCUAUUUUUUAUGUUUAAAAAUCAUAUUUUAAAAAUUCUUUUAUUGGAAAAUGAAGGUAAUUUUAAAAUGAAAAAUUUAAGUGUUGUUUGGAUGUAUUUUAUGUUUUUAUUUUUUUUUUUAAAAAAUAACAAUAAUUUUUUUUAUAAAAUAUAGGAACAUUUAUAUAUUUUAUUUAAAAAAUAAUAGUUUUUAAAAAUCAUUUUUACAAAAAUGAAAUAUUAGAAAUGUGUGGAUCCUGCAUUUUGCUCGAUGCAUUCCCACUCGAUGGCGCAACUUUUUUUUUAUUAUUUGUGAAAAUUUUGAUUUUUUUAAAAAAAGAUUUGGGGUCACUACUUAUUUUUGUUUUAUUUUUAAAGAGAAAACAAAAUGGCGAUUCUAUUGGAGAUCACUAGAGAGUCAAGCUUGAACAUAAGUUGAGGCAAAUGUUGCGUUUGAUUAGUCAAUCAGUGGGUACCUACCUCUCUUUGUGCGUGUGUUUGCUUAACUAUUGAUUGCACAUUGAGAGCUUUUGGUAUCAUUAUCUUUGACGCAUGAUUGGUUAUUGUAUUCGUUUGAGACAUUGGCAUGUUGAUUAUAUUGAUUGAUCCUUUCGACUAUCCUCACAUAUUGACUCUCCUUGUUGUAUGAUUACUCUGCUCACCUUGACAUGUACAUUCUUCUUGCUGCUUAUCUCAUUCAUCUUGACAUGUUUGAUUCUCUUGGUUGUAUAUUAUUAUGAUUAUCACGGAGCAUGCUAUCCUUGCUAGAUAUUCAUCUCGAUUAUCAUAUUUCUUGCUUAGCUUGUGUGUAGAUUUGGAUGAUAUACAUGUGCUUUGCAUGAUUGUUUGUUGCAUAACUUCUCUCUUUCCGUGUGAUUGCAUGAGUUGCUUGUCUAUGUGGGACACACACCUAUCCCCUUAUCUCCAAGUCUCUAGUCUCGAUCAACAUUGUUUUCCUUGAUCUCGUAUUUGAUAUGAGAUUUGUUGUUUUGUUUGCUCUUCGACCAAGCUAGUUAUUAGGAGUAGGGUCUAGCGAUGGGUUGUAUCUAUGUUUGGGAGCAUUCUGGAGGAGGUCGACACAUUGAUGUUGAUUGGAAUCUGAUCUUUGAAGACUUGUAUAGCCCAAAGAUAAAUUUCAGGAUAUUUGUGUGACCAAUGUGUUUAUUUUUCUGCUUUAGUUUGAUAGGAUUUUCGAAUGCACCCACACCACUCACUAUGCACUUUAGUUUAUUACUGAGUACUGAGAGUUGCGAGAGCUUUCACCAUCGGAAAGCUCUUGAGAUGCCGAGGUAGUGCAUGUGUGGAAGUGAUGACCACUUUGCAUGGAAGUACCCCGUCUCUUAGGAGGCGUGUAGAGGGUUGCGUAGCACCAUAUGGUACGAUCCCUUCUGCUAAGGAUCCUUUAAAGUCCACCCAUUUUCUUUUAAAGCUACCUUCACUUUGUAGGUUGAGCCUUAGAUCCUUCGACUAGGACUUUUUUCCUACACGUAGGUGCAUCUGAGGACCUUUAGAGCCUCUUUAGUUACAAUUCGGAUCCAAUACUCCCUCUUUUGGUCUCCAAUUGAGAGUGUUUAAAGAUCAAUACAAGUUUGAGUAUCAGUUGGACCACCUUUUUUCAUGUAGUGUUGACUCUUUCUAGUUUCUCGAUGAGUUUAGCAUGUUUUCUCCCAAGGGCUUUUGUCUUCCUUUCUUGGCUUGGCACGUCCUUUCAGUUGGUUGUCCUUUGCUUGAUGCUUUGGGAUAUAUUUGUUGAUCAUGAUCAUCUUUUAGGGUGAAAUGCACGUUUUCACAUUUACAAUUUUUUUUUAGAGAUUCGCUUUGAUCACCUUAUCAUUUUUUCUCUUCAUGGAGCUCGAGUUGAAGAUUGAGUUAAAGAUAUGUGUUUAUAGAUGGAGUAUUGAUCUCGUGAUAGUGUGUUUCUCACACCUCUUUCAUCUUGGAUUAUUGAUACAAAUUCUCUAGUCAUAUUUGUAGCUAUCUCACAGUGGACACCUUUAUGACUCUAGAGUUCUCAUUAUACAUCCAGAUUUCGGAUUGCCACCUCAAGACCAUGUGUUUGCAUGUUAUAUGGUUAUCUUUUAGGGUUCUAUCUUGUGUCCUUCAUCCAAUUUGUUUGCAUUGUUGGGAGUCAGUUUAGGAGUUGGUUGAGUUUGAAGUCACAUUCUUGGAAAAGAGUUGGAGGUCGAUUGAUCAGAGUAGAUUCACAUCAGAGUUCAGACAGUUCAAUUGAGAUGUUAGACGAGCUAGCUUCUGCACUUGCUUCUAUUCAGGAGUUCAUAGUAAGAGUCAGUAGACGUUUGGAUCAGAUAGAGAGUUCUUGCCAGGAUCAUCAUCCAGUUGGCAUGGUCACCAAUGAGCAAUGCUUUCAGAACCGAAUUGGUCAUUGAACCAGAAAAGUUACCGGUUCACGGUUCGCCGGUCGGACCGACAGUCGAACCGUUAUCGAACCGGUGACGUCAUAAAUAUAUAUUUUAUUAUUUUAUAUAUUAUAAAAAAUUAAUAAAUUAAUAAAUUCUAUGUAAAUUUUGACAGCAUCUACUUUGUUUGUUGAGUUUUGUCACAAAAAUUUUUACUUGUAGAAGUCAUCAAUUAUCAUAUAUGAUAUCUAUAACACAAUGUAAGAUGCUAUACAUUCAUAAAGUCAAUAAACUCAAUAUUUAUCAAAUAAUCAAACCAUUACUAUCCUAUAAUAACCAAAUUAUCAAAGAAUUGUUAACUUAACACAUUGUCCAUAAUAGAUAAUAAAAAUGUCAACCAUAGGUCCACAACACUUAAAUAAUUACUCAAAAUAAAAAUAUAACAUGUCAAUGUUUGAAUAUUCAUGAAUUUUUUUGCAUACUAAUAAAUAUAAAAUUCAUGUCUUCAUUCAUUUUGGAAAUUGGAAUAUGGAGAUUGAAUAUGAGCAUCUGGAAAACCAAAGUUCUCCACAUCAAGCCCUUCUAUAGCCACAUCACCACCAUCCUCAUUAUCUACAAAAAUAUUGAAUAUAUAUCAACAAGAAAUCAUUUUUGAAGAAAAAAAAUAUAAUUAUUGAACUUUUAUAAGUUUAAAUAUUUUACUAACCAAUGUGAGAACUUGAACCUUCCACUUCAUUUAUUGGAAUUGACUCUUCUUCAUAUAGAAGAUUUUCCAAUUCUUCAAUAUCUAACUCUGUUGGUUGAUCGUCAUCAACUACCCAGAAAUCAGUCUCAUCAAUGCAUGCAUAGUCAAUGGGAUCAUAGAUUCUUUUCUUUUUAUAGAACCUAAAAAAAAGCAUAUAAUUAUUCAUAAUUGUGAAUAGAAGAAUUUAAAUUCAAAACAACUAAUAAAUCAUUUAUAUCGAUUUUUUAGGCGCAAAUUGUAAUGAACGUAUACAAGAUCAUUAAGCCUUUGAUGUUCCAAUCUAUUCCUUCUUUUGGUAUGUAUACGUUCAAAGACACUCCAAUUCCUCUCACAUCCAGAAGACAAUGCAGUUUGGCUCAAUAUUAGAAUGACUGACUUUUGCAAAUGUGGUGCACUGUAUCCAUGUAGCCUCCACCAUUCAUCUAGUUACCAUUUCACAUUAAAAAUAAGAAAAAAAAAUAAAACACAUUAGCAAGUUUAAAAUAUUAAAUAGUAAGUAGGUAACUAAUAAAAAUAAAUAAACAUACUAAUAAAUGAAGAUAAUAUUUUACCAAGUUGAAGUACUUCAUGUGAAGAAUAAGCAAGGCCUCUUCCAAAACUUCCUAAUCGAUCACGAAAUAACUUCAUUUCAUUCAUUGUUUCAAGCUUGCCUUUCAGAACUUUCUGAUCAAUAACAUCCAUGACACCUCCAAUAACAUUUGGCUUAUUACAAAAGUUUUCUUGAUCAUAUUGGAAACAUGGAUUCAACCAAUAAGCUGCUGAAUGAAUGCUUUUCUUUAGUUGUUGAUCCCAACGUUGCUUUAUGAUCUCUAUAUAAGGCUUGUAUAGUCUUUCGUUGUAGUUAAACAAUUUCUUGAUGCCCAAACGAACCCUAUACAUGCCUUCAUACACAUAUCCCAUCGAAGGCCUCUCAUCACAAUCAACAAUACGCAAUAAGCGCAUUAGUGGAGACAUAAGAUUCACAACAAUCAAACAAUAAUUCCAAAAUUAUUAUCCAAGAUGAUGGAAACCACAACUUUGCUUUUAUAAUCCUUUGAAUAUCUAGAGUCCACAAAAAACUUACUAGUCGCCAAAGCUUGCAAGUCAUGUUUAUGAUCAUGAAGACUCUUGAGUGUAAUGAAUGUAGUAGCAAAGCGAGUUGCACUAGGUCGCAAAAUCUCUGUACAUUCUUGUUUUUUUCUCAACCAACUUAACAAAGCAACAUGAUUAUAAACAAAAAUUGUCACCUUUGAUGCACGUCUUACAAGUUCAGCAACAUGGUCCAUCUUACCAAUAUCCUUAAAGAUCAAAUUAAGACAAUGAGUUGCACAAGGUGACCAACUAAUGUGUUUAUGCUUCUGAGAAAUCAAUCUCCUUACGACCACAUAAUUUGUUGCAUUAUCAGUCACUAUAUGAACUACAUUGAGUAGACCAACCCAUUCAAUCACCCCAUCAAAUAACUGAAACAAAUUAGUUGCAUCCUUGACAAUGUCCGAAGCAUCAACAGAUUUCACAAACGAUAUGCCUUUAGGACAAUACACAAGGAAGUUGAUGAGUGUUCUUUGUCUAUUAUCUGUCCAACCAUCACCCAUUAUUGUACACCCAACUUUUUCCCAAAUUGCAUGAUAAGAGUCCACAAGUAACUGAACUUCCUUCUUGACAUCCUUUAAAAGAUUAACUCGUAGCUGAUGGUAAUUUGGACCCUUAUAUCCAAGACCAAUUGCAGAUAUAACAUCCAACAUUGGCUUGAAGUAGAAGGAAUUCACUACAUUAAUAGGAAUGUCUGCAUCAUAAAAGAAUCUCCUAACCGCCAUAUCCGCUCUCCAAAUAGCUUCUUUCUCAGUUAGUACACUCCUCAUGGAAGGUUGAGCUCCUUGAGUAUUUCUUGGUGCAAAAUAUUUAUCCACUGUUGAUUUUUUCCUUUUUCCACUAUUAGCUGCCAUAGGACUUUGCAUUUCUUGAACCUCUUCUUCACCUUCUGUCAUAUCCCCUUCAAAUUAUGACACAUUAGGACCAUAAGGAUUUCUACAUUCAUAUGCUUCUUAGGUUGCUUUCUUAGAAUUCACAAACUCUUGCAAAGAAUUUUCCAUUCGAAAUCUUACAUCAGGAGGAAUUGAUUUACAUGGACCAAUAUCUCCUUUCACUCUAGCAAGAUGUUGUUUCAUUAUAUGAAUACCCCCACCUUUUGUAAUCUUUUUACAAUACAAACUAAUAAGAGCUUUCCUUCCAUUUGCAUAUCUUUCUUCAGAAACAUGCUCCCAUGCAGGAUCAGUCUUACUUCUAAUUGAUUGAGAAUUGGUAGUUGAAUCUUGACCAGAGGAUGGAGUCAAGUUUGAUGCUAUUUUUUAUUUCUCUAUCAAAUUAGAAACAAAAAUAUCACAUUAACGUAGAUAAUGGAAGUCAUCAACAAUUUAAUGAUUUAUAAUCAAGUCAUCAACAAUUUAUAACAAUCACAUAUCAAUAGGUAAAUUUAUCUAAAGGAAUACUGGUCAUUAUAACAAGCAUGUUUUGAUCCAAUUAUAAAUUUAUCUAAAUUCUAAAGUAAUUUUGUAGAGAUAUAUUGAUGGGGUACAAGGAGCAAACCAUGAGAUUAGGACUUACAUUGUUGGAGUUAAUAUCUGAGGCUGUUAGGCUCAAUUCAAACCACCUAAAAGACAUGGAUUGUGCUGAAGGGCUUCCCAUAUUGUGUCACUAUUAUCUAGCAUGUCCACAACCAUAGCUAACCAUGGGCACCACAAAGCAUUUUGACAAUACAGGGAAACGGAAACCACAGUGAGAGACUAUGUUCUUUAUUGCUACUCAAAAGGGCUUGAUGGGACUUCUGCUCUACCAUAUUUGAAGCUCAAAAUUGGUCUAGCUUCAAAGUAUAAUUAUUAAUUAGUGAUUACAAAUCACAAGUUGGAAAAUGACUACAAGCACCUGGCUCUGUUACUCAUCAUAUUCCAACUUACACAAUGUCAACAAGACAAACUGUAAGGAAACUCUAAUAAACAUUAUAAACAUUUUCAUUGAAUCCACCAUAGUCGUGACAUGGAAGGGAAGAGAAGAAUCACAAGUUACAAGCAUUUUACAAGCCCAAUCCACACAAUUCCAAAUACCAUAAGCUGUAUUGGUAAAAGGCGCACCUCACUGGGCAAACCCCAUCACGGCCAAACAACGCACCUCACUAGGCAGUGGGCAAACCCUGUUACCCCACAAUUGACACAGCUCACUGGGCAAACUCUAACGCCGGGGCGAGCUACCAGUUAGGAGAGGGGGUGAGCUUUCCAACGCUGGCGAUACUUGUUUGGGUGUCAUGGGCCGCUGGCGGGACCUGUGUGGGUGUCGUAGGCCGUCAACGAGAUCUGUCUUGGUGUCGCGACUGGGACACGUCGACGACGGGCGGAGGAGAUGGAGGGAGCUUCCCAACGUUGGCGAUACCCGUGUGGGUGUCGUGGGCCGUCGAAGGGACCUGUAUGGGUAUCGCAAGCCAUCGACAGGAUCUGUCUUGGUGUCGCGGCUGGGACGCAUCGACGGCGGGCGAAGAAGGAAGGAUUGGAGACUUGGAGUUUGGAGGUUGCAGCCUGCAGCUUUUGAGAUUUUAAUUUUGUUAUAUAGGACUCCAAAAUGGCAUCGUUUUGAUGUUGUUUUUUUUUUAUAAAAAAAAAUUAAAAUCAUUUGAACCGGUCGGUUCAUCCGAUUCACCGGUUGGACCGUCGGUUCAAGCGGUCCAACCCCGGUUUGAUCCCCAUCAGGUCCAAAUGACCAGGCCAGACCGGAACGGUGACCGACCAGUCCAGUCUGGUUUUUAAAACAUUGUUGAUGAGACAGUUUCCCAUGCAUCUCAGACAGCGCAGGUUCUUCCACUUGGGACUUCACAUGGCGUUCCAUUUCAUCUAUCAGAACAUUGUGAGACUGUUCCACCACUUGCUGCCAUAGUGUCACCUUCCAUUGUUACUACUACUGAUGAUACUAGAUUGGUCGAGCAAGAGGCCAGGGUUGAGAAGCUUGAGUCCAGGAUGAGACAUAUCAGAUUACAAGAUAGAGACUUGACUUGGAAUGAUAAGGAUGGCAUACCGGUGGCUAGCUUGCCCGCCAAGUUUUGCAUGCCAAACAUUGAGCAUUAUAGUGGGAUUGGUUGUCCGAAGAUCCACUUGAGACUAUACAGCACAAUCAUGAGAGCGCAUCGGAUAGAUGAUGCACAGUUGGUGGCUUUUUUCCCUAUGUCACUUAGUGGGGCAACUUAGAGAUGGUUUACCUCAGUUGAGCCUUCGAGACUUCGCACCUGGGAAGAUGUGGCUCAUGAGUUUCUAACUCGGUUUGCUUUCAGUGUCGUCAUUGAUGUAUCUAGACGAGAAUUGGAGGCCACCAAACAAAGGUCAGACGAGUCUAUUGCUUCCUUUGUUAGUCAUUGGAGGGCAAAAGUGGCUAGUAUGAUAGACCGUCCUAAGGAGCGGGAUCGAAUUGAUAUGGUUCUUCAAAACCUACAGCCGAGGUUUGCUAGAUGCCUUGUGGGCAUUCCAUUUCAGGAUCUUAAGAGUCUAGUUCAUGCAGCUUUCAGUGUUGAGGAGGUCAUUGCUCGAGGAUUAUGGACAAAUGUUGCUCAUUCCCCUAACAGUAAGGGGAAAAAGUCGGUUAGAUCAUCUAAUAGAUCUGGAGAGGUUGACAUUAUUAGCUAUUAGCAUCAAAGGCCCGCACAUCACUCACCUUAUAGACCUCCUAUAGUCAGAGUUCAUUUCUCUCAUCUACAACAUCAGUAUAAGCCAAUUCGUGUUCAACAGUCUUACAUUGCUCAGACUAGCAUGUAGCCACGACCACCACAUCCGAGAACCACUACUCCCCCGCUGCCUAAACUAUAUGCACAGAGGUCCGCGAGAUAGUUUACUCCAUUGGGCACAACUUUGACUAGAGCUUUCGAAAAGCUCAGAGACGCUAGUUUGAAAAAAAAAAUUCUCAAAUGAUUUUCAAAACUUCAAUUUCUUUCAAAUUUAAUUUUCAAAACUUUUGUUAUCAAAUAAUUUUCCAAAUUUCCAAUUUUUUUAAAAAAUAUAUUUUCAAAUAAUUCUUCAAAAUUCCGAUUUUCAAAAAUUCCACUUUCAAAUUUAAUUUUCAAAAUUUCAAUUUUCAAAACUCUCAUUCUCAAAUAAUUUUUCAAAAUUCCAAUUUUCAAAUUUGAUCUUCAAAACUUCAAUUUUCAAAUCAUUUUCAAAACUCCACAUUUUCAAAUAAUUUUAAUUCCAUCCUAGGCCCCACUUCCGCAUGGCCAUGCAUGGCCACCCUUAGCAUGCAAUCCCAAAGGUCACAUGUUCUCAUCUUUUUAAUCCCUCACACUUAUCUUCAAAACUUGAUUUUCAAAAAUCUGUCUUUCAAAUCUUUUUAAAUAUUUUAAAUUCAUUUUUUAAUUUGUUUAUUCAUCUAAUUUAAUAAAUCAUUUAUUUAUCUUUUAUCUAAUUAUUUAUUUAUUCAUUUUAUUGUUUUACUUUAUUUUAUUCAUUUUAUUGUUUUACUUUAUUUUAUUUAUUUAUUUUUUAUUAUUUUUUUUUUUCUUCUUCAUUAAAAUCCUAAGUCACCAAAAUCUAAUUUUUAAUAAACUUGCUGCCAUAUUUUAUUCAGGCAUGCAUUUUGUGAUUUUCUAUCGUUUUAAAUAAUUUUCACGGUAUUCACUAUUUUUUAUAAGCAUGAAUAUGAUUUUCAUAAUUCCAAAACAUUAGAAUUUGUGGGAUUAAUUUAUGCAAAAUCAAUUGGGCUUUGGUGGGAGUCCAACAUCCAUGAUAUUCUUUUUAAAAAUAAUCUGAGUGAAAUGCAUAAUUGUCAUUGAUGAUUUCUUGCUUUGUUUUGUGAUACAUACGAUAUAUUUGUGUUUAUUAUUGUGCAAUAAUAUCAUUUCAUGAUAGCGCACUAUUACUUGCUGUUAAGGUACAAUCUCAAUCCCACUUUGUUUAUUCUUAUGCGUAAUUCGUUUUAUUAUUUGAUCAUUUCACUGGUAUCCAUUGAUUUCCUUAUCAAUUAUCACAUUUGCUUCACCUUAUUUAGUAGAGACCUUAUUAUAGGGCUUAAAGGGGUGCUACAACUCACCACCAUACCUUCCUAAUAGGUAACCUGACCCCUGGACCCGACUUUAGUUUUUCACAGAUCUGUUUUUCCUUCAGAAGUCACACUUAGAGUUUUUCUUUCUUAUUUUAUUUUUCCCUUUAAAAAUAAAACAAAAAUAAGUUAUGACUCCAAGUCUUUUUAAAAAAAUCAAAAUUUUCACAAAUGAAUAAAAAGAGAGAGUUGUGUCAUUGAGUGAAAACGCAUUAAGCAAAAUGUGGGGUCAACAAAAAGAUUAAUGCUUCUAAUUUUGAGGAUUAAAAAUAAUUUUAAAGAACAUAAGUAGAAGAGUCUUUACAUUUUAUAUUUCUACAAUUUUGAUUCAUAAAUUGCAUUCGAGUUGAAGUAAGACUUUCUUUCCUUUUCUAAAUAUCAAUAAAUCAUAAUGAAAAACAUGAGAUUCAUGUUGGAAAAUUCUAUCUAAAUAUCAUUAGAAAUUAUACAUGAAAUUUAAAAUAUCUUUAAUAUUAAGUUCUCCAAACAAGACUUUAAUAUUCAACCAUAUGCUUUUCUCUAAGUGGGAAAUCACACAAUAUUAUACUAUUUAACUCUUCUAUACUUUUUUAUCCUAAUUAAUAAUCCCAUUAUUUUUAAAGUGGAUAUAUUUUAUUAUGAAUACCUAAUCGCUCGGAUUUUGUCGUUUAUUGGAUCAAAACGAAAUUUAUAACCUAAUUCACUAUUCUAUAGCAAUUUGUACCCGAUCAAAAAGUGGUUUUAGUACAAAUUACUAUAGUAUAGUGGUAUUUAGGUAUCGUCCACAAAGAUGGAUUAUUCUCGGUAAUUAAGACUUGAAUGAGAUGAUAAGAAAUGAUUGUGAUCAAGUGAAAUUGACUUGAAAUUGCAUGAUAAAGUCUCAAAAUAACAAUGUAUUCAAAUUGAAAGGAAAAUGAAGUGUAAAAGAGAAGAAAAUUAAUAAGAUGUGAGAUUCUCGGAGUUAGGAUUUUCCAGAGAGCAAUUUCCAUGGUGAAUAGGUGUUGAGAUCUAAUUUUCAUCAAGUUAGAUUGAAAACCUAAAUUUUCAUCUAAACCGAUUUUUGAUUUAGCUUUAGGUCUAGAUCUAAUUUCUCUUCAAAUUAGGUAAUCUAAUACAAGAGAUCAAUUCAAAUCAUAUAUUCAAUUCAUCUUAAAUUAUCUUCCGAUGAUUCACACAAUGCAACUAUUCAAUCUCAUCAAAUAUAGCAUUAAGAAUUUGAUGAAUCUACCUAGCUUGCAUUGUAGCAAUCAUCCAAGACAAUUUGAAGAGAAAAAUCCCAAAAUUUCAAUUAAUCAAUCAAUUGGAUCAAAUUACCUUUACAAUUCAAGCUCAAUUCUCUAAUUCACUAUAGAUCUUGCCUCUAGAUCCUUCUUCUUCCGAGAAAAACGAGAUUUAGCCACUCAUGCUUGGAGAUUUGAUCUCACAAGACAUGUUUGGCUACCGAGAAAAUGAAAGAAAAUGAAAGAAAGUAGAAAAUUAUAUAAAGAGAAGAAGUCUGAAAAGUUCUACAAUUAGGAAAAAUCCACCAAAAGUUUUUAAAUGAGUCAAUCACGUUUCUAUUUAUAGGUCAAGGUCAAAAGGACACUUGGCAUCAUUUAAGAAGUCUUCCGGAUGCUUCUUCAUCAAGGAAUCUGGAAAAAAAAUGCAUUUUCGCACGAGCCUCAGCAAUUUCGCAUGAUGAUGCGAAGUGGAAAAUCCAUCAGCUGCAUUAUCGUCUUGCUGGAGCGUUUCGCAUGACUGUGUGAAAAUUUCACAUGGUCAUGCUAAAUCACUUUUCACAUUUCCCUUAUAUGUUGCAGCCAAGCCUAUUCUGUUUCAUUUCGCAUGGUCAUGCGAAAUUGAAAAACAUGUUUUUUCGACUCCUCUUUGCAAUUUCUCUCAUUUCUUCAUUUUUAAUCUACCUUUACCACCUUCAAUUCAGCUCCAAAUCCCAAUCCAAAUCGAUUGCAUUGCUUCUUUCAUUAUGCAUUUGGAUCAUCAUCAACUUUAUUUGUUUUCUUCAAUUUGAUUCAUCUUUUUUGUCACCAAUUUAUCAAAAUCAUACCUUGAAAUGACUCCAAAACUUCAUAAAACUUGUUAGUAACUCUUGCAAGGGCAAAAACAUGUUAAUUGAGUGUUUUAGGCAUAAUUACUACUCAAAAGAUGUGAAACUCAUGAGAAUUAUUAUCUAAAAUGUGCUUUUUUUUAGUAGUAAUCAAUACCCUUUUAAUAAAAAAUCACUACAAGAAAAUUGACUUUCAGCGAUAAAAUAUUUGUCACUGAAAGUCUAAAUUUCAUCUACAAAAACAUUCCCCAAAGAAAAUUCUUUUGUGCCUUGUUUGUCGCCCUAGACCCAUCGUUAAAAGUUUCGUGACAAAAAUAUUAUUUCGUCGCCCAAAGUUUUCCUUGAUGAAAUAAAAUUUUGUCCCUGAAGGUGUUUUCCAACGAAAUAUUUCAUCGACAAAAGUAAGAAUUUUUGUCACGAAAAAAAUAAAAUUUGUCCCAAAAGUCGUCAAUAUUUAAUGCCGACAAAUUAUUUGGUAACAAUUAAUUUCGUCGAUGAUAGUAUACCGUCUCUAUUAGUUGACUUGGCCACGCCCUGGGCCUUCGCCAUUCACCCAUAGUGCUAGCUCACCCAUCAAACAUGUGACCAGACUUUGAUACCACUUGUUAAUCGAGGUGCUCUGUACUUCCUAGUGGCUCAUCCAUCCUAAGAUUUUCUGAAAAUCAAUUGGUGAUCAGAACAGGGACCUUAUAUUAUUUAAGUUCACUCUCCAUAGUCCAUUAGGGUGGUUGUUGGCCCCCCCCCAUAAGGCCAACACUAUUAUUUAUUAAAUAAGGUAUGCAAGUCGACAUGAAUUUGACUUGAACUCAAUUAUACUCAACCCAAAAUCAUGAAAGAGUGUUAGAUUCAAGUCAUAUCAAAUUUUGUCACCUCUAAAUAAACCUAAUGUUGAAUGAGAACAAAUUAGCGAACUAUAGUUUAUUAAUAGCUAGAAUAAAUUUGAAAUAUAAAAUAAAGGUACAAUUGAAAGGCAAUGUUAGGAGAAUGUCAAAGUGUAAUACUCAUAUUGACAUUAAUAAAAUAAUGAUCAAAAUGAAAUUAGGAUUCUACAUCAUUUUUUUUUCUUUCUCUUUCUCAUCUAUUCCAAACAAAAAUAUCAAACAUAAUGAAACACUAUAAAUAUAAAUCAUAUAAUAAUUUAUGCUAUAUUUCAAUUAUUUUUAUAACUACAUUUGUUUUAAAUAUUUGAUUAAAAAUGCAUACAAAUAUAAAAACUCAUUUACAAGUUAGUAGUCAUAGAAGUUACUAUUUUGCGGUAUAAUUUAAGAUUUAGUUCUUAAUAACUAAUCAAUUUUGAUAAAUUAGUAAUUAAUAAUUAAAAAUAUUAAAUAUAUAAUUGAUCAAUAAAAAAUAAAAUAACCAAUUAUUAAUAAAGAUGUGGUUGAAAACUUUUAAAACAACUUUAUAUUUAUAUAGAAUUUCACAUGUGCUAUAUAUAUUAGACAUUUUUUAUUUUGUAAAUAUGAAUAUAGAGCUAGGCAUAUAGUACUGGCAAUAUAUUAUAUCAUAUAAUAUUUAACUUAUACUUAUUUAUUUAUUAAUAAUAUAUGAUAUCUUCGUACACAUAAAUAAUAUUUGGAAUUUUAUGUAGAUAGAAUGCUUUUAUAGACACUAGACAAUUUAUUUGAGAAAUUUAAUUCUGACCAAUUAUUUAAAAACCAAGUAAUAAUUAAAAAAAUCUAUUAAUUUAAACUAGGUAACUAAAUGUUAGUAUAAAUUUACUUCUUGAGUGGAUAAGGUAUGAUUUUGAAUGAGAACAAAUUAAAGGACUAUAACUUAUUUAUAGCUAACAUAAAUUUAAUACUACAUUGGACUUGUAUGGAUAACUUUUACCCAAUAUAAUAAAAAUCAUUUAGUAGUAUUUAUGUAUGUGUAGCACCAUAUAAUAAUAUUGAAAUUUAAAUAAAUUUAUAUCAUAGGAUGUAAUCUUACAUAUCUUAGAUUAUCUAUUGUUAUUAUUUAUAUAUAUAAAAAUAUAAAUAACAUAUUACACUAUAAAUAUUAAUUGCUUAAAUAAUUUACAUUUUUUUUUAUUUCAUGACAAUACUAUUAUUACAUAAUAGAACAUUUAAAUUUAAAUAAACCUACAUUCUAGUAUUUAAUUUUAUGGAUCCUUAAUUUUUAUUAUUAUUUAUAUAAAUAAAAUAUUAUAGUAUAAAUAUUAAGUGUCAACAAAUAUAUAUUAUAUUAUUUUAUAGUAUAAAUCAUCUACUUAUUUAUUAAUAUUCUUUAUUAAUAUCACAAUUUAAUAACAUUAUUCGGUGACAAAAUUACUCAAUUUGUCAGAAAAUAAUAUAAUUACCGACAAAACUAUUUUGAAAGCAAAAAUAGAUAAAAAGUUGUAACUUUUAGUGAGGAAAUUAUUUUCAUCACCAAAAAUUAUAAUUAGUGAUAAAUAUUUUCGUAGGGAAAUAGUUUAUUUUCGUCACAAAAGUGUUUGCGCCAAAUUUUCUUACCACAUCUUUCAACGACAAAAAUUUCAAAUUCGUUAGGAAAAGUUUGUAGAAAAUUGGCAUUAUUGACAACAUCUAAAAUUUCAUCCGUAAAACUUACUUUUAACAACAAAAGUAGAAUUUGCCCCUAAAUUUUUGUCACGAAAAGUACAUUGUCUUGUAGUGGAUGAAAAUAUCGAUAUACCAAGGACUCGAUUUUAUGAAUAUAUUGGGAUAUAUCAUAAAAUAUCAGUGAAUAUUUUGACAUAAAAUAUCAAUGGAAAAAAAUUGAUCAAAACUUUUAAUAAUAUUGAAAAAACUCUAAAACAUGAUUAAAAAAAAGUAAUAUUAUACGUGUUAAAGUCAUUUUCAUGGCAAAACUUAAAAACACAAAAAUAUGGAGAAAUAUCAACAUAAAUUUUGAGAAAAAAAUAUCGCAAUUAAUCAAAAGUCAUAAAAUGAUAGUAAAUAUAGAUAUAAAAGAAGCAAUAAUACAUACAAUAAAAUUAUUUUAUUUAUGAAAUUCGAUAAUAAUGUGCAUAAUUUAAGAAUUCAAAACAUAUUUAAUAUUAAGAUUAAGAUCCAUUUAAUAUUCAAAAUAUAAAAGAAAUUAUUAUAUAUAUUAAAAAAAACUAUUAUAAAAUUAAAAAAAUUAUUAUGAUGAUUUUUAUAAUUUGAAUAAUUUUAAAAUGGAAUAUGAAAAUAAAAUAAUUAAAAGUAAUUUACUUUUAUUUAGUGUUUUUAUAAGUCUAGGAGUAUAAAUGUAUUUUAUUUAUAUGUUUUGGCAUAUUUAUCAAAAAGUAAAAUAGCCAUAUUAGUUAGUUCUCCUCCUUGCACAAACGAGGCCCACAUCAUUAAAGAUUGCUUAAUAUAUCAUCAAAGAACUUCAUUUAAAAUUACAUUAUUUUCUUUAUUUUUUGUUUGUUCUACUGAAACCUUAACAUCCCGUCGCUUUGGCCGAGUGGUUAAGGCGUGUGCCUGCUAAGUACAUGGGGUUUCCCCGCGAGAGUUCGAAUCUCUCAGGCGACGAAUUUGUCUUUUAAUUUUUUGGGUCUUGUUGAAAUUUUACAAAAAUGAUAACAAACACUUGAAAUUUUGCUUAGAAAGAGAGAGUUUCCACUUCUUAUUGAUGAGUAAUACAACCUACUUGUUCCCUCUUUGUACAUAAAAAGAACCUUCAAUUCUCACCAACUACUCUUCAUUAUUCUUCUUCUUUCUUCUUCUUCUUCUUCUUCCUCUUCUCCAACUCAAGUCUCCAUUAUUUCUAUUCACAAUUCCCUCAAAAACAAUCAUUAUUAUUUCCUUUGUUUUUUCACCCAAUAAUUCUCCCCCCAAACUCACCUUCAAUCUUAUUCAACACCCCUCAAAAAAAUAAACAACCCAAAACUUUUAAGGGUUGUUUAGUUUUUCUUUUCUUUUCCUCCAAAAUUGCCUAGGAGACGAGAGGAGAGUUUUAUUGAAGUUGGAAAUCAAGGAAAGGGAAGGAGGAAGCAUUUUCCAGCAAACCCUCCAAAUCCCACUCUCCAAUUCCCAUGUUCUCACCUUGCCAAUGAUUUCCCACUCCAAAAAUGUUGUCACUCUCCUCUACUUUGCUAUUAUUGUUUUUCAUGUCAAUGGUGUAGUACUCAUUCUGAGUUGCACCAUUGUUCUCCUCAGUGGUGCUAUUACUCUGUGAUCCCGGUAUGGAAAUCUCCCUCUCUACCCCCAUAUUCCCACCUCCCGUCACCCCAUAUCGUCCGUCGAACUCAUCGGUCAUUUCGGGUUUUGCCAUGCAGUUUGGCAGGCUGAAUACCAUUUGGUCAUGCCGGUUGUCCAGGAGAGGGAAAGGGUUGUCUAAGUGGUUGCUUGUUAGCAUGGUGUUCAUGGAGGAAAAUGAGGAGGAAGAUGAGUCCAUGUACAUGUUCAUCAUUUCAUGUUCAUGCAUGGACAACAGCAUUCCUGAUGAUCCUCCAACGCCCAUGCCCAUGGCAUUGAUGUUAUCUACUACAACUCUAGGCUCCAAAGACGAAUCAUGGCAGUCGUUGGGCGAGUGCGUCUGCAAGCUGUUUUUCAGCCUUUUCUUGAUGGUAGAGUUCCAGAAGUUCUUUAUUUCAUUGUCGGUCCUCCCUGGUAGGCGCGCCGCGAUCUGAGACCACCUGAACCAUUUGAAACAAAUGGAAAAUGAGAAGUGUAAUCAACCAAAUAAAUCUGCAUUUUUUUUUUCAUUUUUCACAUUAAUUAUGCUUAAGACCUACUCAAAGGCUAAAUCUAACAUAUGUAAUUCACACAAAAACCCUAGAAAAGUUCUGGCCAUUUUUGUACUAUAUGAAGAGAAUUUGCUUAGAAAAUAAUUCUGAGAAGAAAUUAUUGAAACCCCAUAAACCCCUAGACCAUAUAAUAUUUCAAUUGUCCAUAUGAAGAGAAUUGCUUAGAAUUUAAAUUUGAUAAGAAAUUAUGGAAACCCCAUAAACCCUAGACCAUAUAACAUUACAAUUGUCCAAAUUUGAUUGAGAAAAUAGAGCCUGCAUUUUCAAAAUCUGGCCAAAAAAAUAGCCAGAUUAUUGUUGGGUAUAUAAUAUCAUUGACCAGCUUAGGAUUCUCCCUUCAUUCUUAGAUCUUCACGAAAUAAUAAUCUACAUUAUUCAAUUAUCAUUACCUAGAGCUCUCUACAAAUCAAAAACAUUCCUUAUAUUAAGUUUGAUACAUGGGAUAUAUAGAUAUAUAGAUACAUAGAUAUAGAUAAUGCAAUGUGUGUGCAAUGUUAUUAUAUAGCUUUAUGAAAGCAAGAAAAAGAUGGAUAUAAGACCUGUUGCCAAGGAUGGAAUGCAAGUGGAUGAUGAGCUCUUCUUCUUGGGGUGAGAAUGCGCCGCGCUUGAGGUCGGGUCUCAAGUAGUUAAUCCAACGAAGGCGGCAGCUUUUGCCACACCUCUGCAGGCCGGCAUUCCUAGCGAUAUCGCUCCAGCACCCUUGUCCAUUUCUCAGCAUGUAGCUCAUGAGCUUCUCAUCUUCUUCAGGCGACCACAAGCCCUUCCUAAGCUUAUUGUUGUUGUUCUUGUUGUUAUUGUUAGCAAUGUUGUUAUUGAUUAGUACUCGAUCUUUUCCCAUGAGAUCCGGUUUUCUCAUAUGGAUCGAGCUACGAAUGUGGGAUCCAAGCAAGUGGUUUGAAAUUGAUAAGGGAGAGAUAUAUAGAGAGAGGGAGGGAGAGAGAGGGAGGGAGAGAGAGAGAGAGAGAGAGAGAGAGAGAGAUGAAGGCUUGAUGAGAUGGUAAUGGUGGUAUGAUGAUGGAGAUGGGANNNNNNNNNNNNNNNNNNNNNNNNNNNNNNNNNNNNNNNNNNNNNNNNNNNNNNNNNNNNNNNNNNNNNNNNNNNNNNNNNNNNNNNNNNNNNNNNNNNNUCAGAAUGAGUAGUACACCAUGUGACAUGAAAAACAAUAAUAGCAAAGUUAGAGGAGAGGACAACAUUUUGGAGUGGGAAAUCAUGGCAAGGUGAGAACAUGGGAAUUGGAGAGUGGGAUCUGGAGGGUUGCUGGAAAAUGCUUCCUCCUUCCCUUUCCUUGAUUUCCAACUUCAAUAAAACUCUCCUCUCGUCUCCUAGGCAAUUUUGGAGGAAAAGAAAAGAAAAACUAAACAACCCUUAAAAGUUUUGGGUUGUUUAUUUUUUUGAGGGGUGUUGAAUAAGAUUGAAGGUGAGUUUGGGGGGAGAAUUAUUGGGUGAAAAAACAAAGGAAAUAAUAAUGAUUGUUUUUGAGGGAAUUGUGAAUAGAAAUAAUGGAGACCCCCCCCUCUCUCUAUCUUCAUGUUUCUAUACUUCAAGUACAAGAGAGAUAUCAGAGAGAGAGAGAGAGAGGAGAGAGUACAGAAGUACUUGAGGUACUCUUCACCUGGGCAGGCUGUUAAACAUAUCUUUCCCGUAAGUGAUUGUCCCUUUAGCUAUUGGACAAAUAAGGAGGGAAGACAACUACUUUUUUGCUUGUCUCUUGUUUGAGCUAACAAACUUCUAAAGCAACCAAGUUUGAUUAAUUAAAUUUCCUCCCAAAUUCUUUCAUUAAUGAUUAGUUAUAAUUCCCAUCAAGAACAACACAAUAAUGUCAAAAAUAAAAACCACUGAAAAUGCUUUCUGUUAACUCUCAAAGUACUAGAAGUGCUUAAUGGCCAUUGAUUCACAUGAAGUUUACAGAUAAUUUGUGUUUUAUAUAAUCAAGUUAAUUAACUUUCAUGGAUAUCGAUAGAUCGGAUCGACGGAAUCAUGGGAUUCAUUUAGAGUACCUAACCCUAGACAGCUUGAUUAAAGGCAGUUCAGUUGCAUUGAUGGAUGAUUGUAUUCGACUCUUUCGGAUAAAAAUUAUACGCCCAUUCCAGAAAAAGAAAAAAGAAAAAUUUGCAGCCAAGAAGUGUGCAACAUACCCCACAAAAAAAAAACCUUUCUUCUUCAUAUGAUCAUCAUCCCAAUCUUGAAUCAUUGAUAUCUUUUUCAUCAGUCAUUUCCUUUUCAUUACCUACUCUUCCGUAAAUGCCAGGUGUUUGGAUGAAAUCGCCUAGUACAUUAUAUAUAUAUAUAUACAUGUAUAUUAUAUUAUCAUGGGAAGGAGAUGAAAAUCAAUAUUUGAAACAAGAAAGGAGUAAAGGGGAAUUCAUGAGUAUUUCAAAGAUUUGAUCAUCCAGACUGUUGAUGGGGACUUGUAGCUAUGCGCUGGAGAAAAAGUGAGGAAAACUGUCAAGCUACUCAAAAUGUUCCAAUCUCCCUCUCCCUCUCGCUCCCUCCCUCCCUCCCUCUCUCUCUCUCUCUCUCUCUCAGAGGUUCCACAGCUGUCCCAAAAAUGUUAACGAUAUGGUAUGGAUGAUCCUGUGCCAAGCAACAUCCUACUUGGUAAAUAAGACAAGAAAUGCCAUGUAGCACACCUGUCCUCAAGAAUGAGUAGUACGUAUUCCAGCCCUUCUUUUGAGUUUUAAUCUGAAGGGUUUAAAAUUUCUUGAAUUUACAGAAAAAUUAAAAUAUUAUAUAAAAAUUCUUGAAAAAAAAAAUCUAUAGGACGAUCAAAAUAUAACAAUUUUGCAUGAAACUUUGAUAAAUAAUAAAAGAUUGAUUCGAUCUAUAAAUAGUGAAAGAUCGAUUUUAUAUAUACAAGUUUAUGUAAUCAUACAUAAUUAUUUUGAUUUUAUCGGUACCUCUAAAUCAUGAAAAUAUCAGACAAAAAUGUAUGUACAAUCAAAAAAUAAUUGUUUAUCGAACAAUGGAUGAAAAUUAAAUUAAGUUCACGAUAAAGAUGAGAUUAAUUCACUUCUAUUUUCCUUUCCCAUUUAUGUGAUUACGUCUUUAAGAUAAUCGGGUUUGCUUCGUUAUCAAACAUGCUUAACUUUGCAAAGUUGUUGGGAUUUGGCAUUUUGAAGUACUCCUAAUUAAAUCUUAAUUUGAUUGUACAAAAUGUACAUUCUAACUAACCAUCUUGAAUGCAGACAAUUAUACAAUUUACAGUCUUCUUCAUUUUUCUCCUCUCUCAUUGCAGCUAGUCAUUAGCUGAAAAUGACUUUGGCUAUAGGCCAUUUAACUAAAUAUAUAUGCUAGUCUUAAAGGUCUAAAAAUCAAGGCUUACUUAGAUUGAACUAAGUUUUUGGUGAUUCAUAUAUGUGGUUACCUAAUACCCAAUAAAUCUAAUAUUCACUAAUCAAAUUUCAAAAAACCAUCUUCAAAAUUGAUUAGGAAUGAUGCGAUUAAUUAUCACCCUAUUUAUUGAUAAUGUGUCUGUUACCAUUUUUUGGUUCGCCCGAUGGAAGGAAAAUGAUAAAUACUUUGAAGCAAGCAAGAGCCAAAUUAAUUGGUAAAAGACAAGAGAUUUGUGAAAUCAUUAAGAAGAAUUUAGCCUUACAUUGGAUUAAGCAACACCAAAUCAUAUAGAGAAAACCACCUUUUCUCAUAGUAGAUUAGUAAAAGAAGUCAAUAUAUAUAUAUAAAGAGAGAGAGAGAGAGAUAAUGCUACUAUUCCAUAGAUUUAUUAGUUAUUUGUUUAAUAUUUCAUUUUUUAUGUCAUUUUUGUGAUAUAUGACAGUACAGAAACUUUUAAAGCAGUUCUUAUCCCAUAUUUUAUAUUUUCUCUUUAGAUGCCUUUGAUACUUGAGAGUAUAAAUAAAAUAUGAUAAGAAUAAAAAUGAAUCACAAUAUCAUAUUAAAAAUAAGAAAUUAAAACUCCAAUAAGAAUGGAAUUGAUGGUCUCAAUAAUAAUUAAUUUUUCAUUGUUCUUCUUAUCAUAAAAAAUAAUUCAAACCCACGUUAAUUAAUGGAUGAAAAUAGAACUAAUUUUCUAUUUCACAUUCUCUAUUCUGACCGUGUUUUGGAACCUAUGAUGUAGUAAGACAUAUGGCCUCUUAGAGGGAAUAAAAUAGAAGAAAAUUGUUCAUGUCCUAAACCUAAGUUUAAGGUUAGGAUGAUCAUUUGACAUUGAUUUUAUUUGUGUAUCGUGAGCACCUUUUUUCUUCAUUCACACUUCCCUAAUUCUUAUUUUGUGUUUAAAAAAAAAAAAAGACAAAUAUUACUAUUAUGCUCUUUUUUAUUCCAUAUGGCAUUAUUAUGGCAAAUUUUUCCCAUCCAACUUUUUUUUCCCCUUCUUUUUUAGAUGGAAGUGAAGAAGAAGUUGAAAUUAAUUUUUAAAAAAAGGUGGGGGGGGAAAAGUGGGGGAGAAAAAGGGUUGGGUGAGUGAAGGAAAAGACCUAUACAUGAAGUCACCAACUAGCAGAGGAUUGGCCUUUAUAUAUAAUAUGAAGUAUUCAAGCUUGUUGUAUCUUGUGUGACACUUAUUUGACUGACAUAACCCUAGCUUUAAGUUAAGAAAGUGACACUGGUAAUCAUGAUUAUUCCCAACUAGAAUUUCAAUUUUCAAAGAUGUGUCACUUCUCUUUUUUAGGGCAUGUGGGGUGAAAAUUUGAGGGGAAAAAAGUGAGGAAAGGGAAAUAAAAAGAAAAAAAAAAUUAAAAAUAAAUUUCAACAAAGUUUAUAUAUAUAUAUAUAUGCUACUUUUAAAGGGUCUAAAAAUCAAGGCUUGCUUAGAUUGAACAAAGUUUUUGGUGAUUCAUAUAUAUGGUUACCUAAUACCCAAUAAAUCUAAUAUUCACCUAAUCAAAUUUCAACAAACCAUCUUCAAAAUUGAUUAGGAAUGAUGCUAUUAAUUAUCACCCUAUUUAUUGAUAAUGUGUUUGUUACCAUUUUUUGGUUUGCUCAAUGGAAAGGAAAAUGAUAAGUACUUUGAAGUAAGCAAGAGCCAAAUUAAUUAGUAAGAGAUAAGAGAUUUGUGAAAUCAUUAAGAAGAAUUUAGUCUUACAUUGGAUUGGACAACACCAAACCAUAUAGAGAAAACAACCUUUUCUCAUAAUAGAUUAGUAAAAGAAGUCAAUAUAUAUGGAGAGAGAGGAAAAAAAAAUAGAUAAUACUAUUAUUCCACAUAUGUAUUAGUUAUUUGUUUAAUAUUCUAUUUUUUAUGUCAUUUUUGUGAUAUAUGACAAAAUAGAAACUUUUGAAUCGAUUCUGAUCCCAUAUUUUAUAUUUUCUCUUAAGAUGUUUUUGAUACUUGAAAGCAUAAAUAAAAUAUGAUAAGGAUAAAAAUGAAUCACAAUAUCAUACUAAAAAGAAGAAAUUAAAACUCCAAUAAGAGUGGAAUUGAUGGUCUCAAUAAUAAUGAAUUUUUCAUUCUUGUUCUUAUCAUAAAAAAUAAUUCAAACCCAUGUUAGUUAAUGGAUGAAAAUAGAACUAAUUUUCUAUUUCACAUUCUCUAUUCCAAUGGUGUCUUGGAACCUAUGAUGUAGUAAGACAGGCAUAUGGCCUCUUAGAGGAAAUACAAUAGAGGAGAAUUGUCGAUGUCCUAAACCUAAGUUUAAGGUUAGGAUGAUCAUUUGACAUUGAUUUUAUUUGUGUAUCAUGAUCAUCUUUUUUCUUCGUUCAAACUUCCCCAAUUCUUACUUGGUGUUUAAAAAAAUAAAUAAAUAAAAAGGAUAUAGAUAUUACUAUUAUGCUUUUUUUUAUUCCAUAUGGCAUUAUUAUGGCAAAUUUUUCCCAUCCAACUCUUUUUUUCC
rnacentral:lncRNA from 1 species